rnacentral:lncRNA from 1 species
UUUUUUUUUGGUUGCAAAACUGACAUGGCAUUUGUUUAACUUUGCGUGUUAAAAAUCAUCCAAAACUGCACCGAUCAAGAUCGUGUGGCAACUAGGGCGUGUUCGCUGGCAGUUUCCCCUUGACGAAUGUUCGCCCAUUACUAUUUCCGUAAGUAAAACCUGUGCGAUAGCGGAAUUGCUAAUGCCGCCCACCCAAUUUUUAAAAUAAUGCAAUAAUUGAAAUUCACGCUUUUUAUGUUCUAAAAAACAAUAAGUAUAUGAUGAUGUAUACUACAUUUAGUAAAGUUUCAUAAUGAAAUACGUUUUAAUGUGAGCUACACGCAAAAAAAUCAUGUAUUUCUGACACAUCCACUAAUUCAUCAUAUAUGAUUUUACCUUUUUUUAAAUCAGAUGAAAACGCAUUUCAUCAUAAAAAAUUACUGCAAUGUGGUAAACAUCAACAUGCCAUAUUUUUUCUCUAAACAAAACUUUAAAAAAGUGACAUUUGAUUAUUAAUUUGGAAUUUUUGGGCUUCAUGGAGCCUGGGAGCCAAAAUCCUCAAUAGUGUGACAACAACAAAAUUAAUGUUAGUACAAUUUCUCUUACUAUAUGUCUCUUUAUUUUCCGUUAUACUUGUGGAGGUGUCCCAAGUGUUUUUAUUUUCCUCUGCUCCGGCGACCUAGGCAAGGCGGUGGAUAAUCUAUCGCUUUCCCCAUGACACCAUGCCCCCUCCCCCUCUCCCUCUAUUUGCCGCUCCGACAUGUAGAGUGGCGGGGACCUAGUGCUUUUCGACCGGUGGUGCUACGAUUACGCACUUUUGGGUUUUAUCUUCAAGCUGCGUUGGCAAGACGUUGGCGACGACGUGGAAUAAGGUCCCUGCCCCACCUUGGUUUGGUUGGUACCAUUCUAAUCAGCGAAGGCGUGUGGAGUAUGGCAUGUCCCAAGAUUUGGUUCUCCGGCUCUAGCAUUUUCUUCUGCAAGCUUGUCUCAGUUGUAUUGACACUCCCAAGGACUUAGAUAUAUUUUUCAAUUUAUAUAAGAGUGUGUUUGUAAGGGCAUCUGCUCCUAACAACCAUACUUGGAUUCAAAUCAAAUUAUGUUCGGAGUCAAAUAUCUCUUACAAUCAAAUUACUUGGAUAGUGGAGUGAAAGUUGUGUCGGUUUGUAUCCCUUGUAAGACAUCAGAAGCUUGGAAAAACCUAGCCGCCGCCUCCACCAUAGAUAGGUUCCCCCUCCUCCGGUCCACCUCGCUGGAGUUGGGAGGGGUGGGGAACCCGAUCUAUGAGUGGAGUUCUUCGUAAUAGUAGUGUUUUCAUUAGAUUGGUUUAGGGUUUUGGUAGUCUUCUUCUUCUUUGAAGAUGGAACUAUCUACAAUAAGUAAUCGUUGCCCUUCGUUCGACGACGAGAUCUCCUUCCCGACGUCAAUGCUGGUGUCGAAACAUUAAAUUUUUCUUGGUAUGGUCCUUCAGAUCUUGCUUCACCAGAUCGGUUUUGGAUUUCUUCUCAUGGUUGCCGCGAGGAUGGUUGUCCUCGCAAUAUCUGCCUCGGCCGCUACAUCCUCGAUAAUGGUGAUUCGUACUCUCGUCUCCCAUCGAUGUCGACAUGGCUGUUCUGUUUUUGUCCCUGAAAUACCGGUGUUGAUGCUCUUGCCGAUGUUGGUUGAUUACUUUAAUGAUUGCGUGCAUGCAUCCAGCCUUGGCAUUGCGGUUCAAAUUAUAACCGAGAACCCUCGUCGGUAUUUACAGGCAUCCCAACCUUGGCAUUGUUUGAUACCUUUAUUAUUUUUCUGUGGCUACCUUCAGAAAAGUAAACCUUGUGGCAUGGAAGAAGAAAGAGUUUGAAGAUCUCGAAGAUUUGCUUGUUUCUUUUAGACUUUAUUUUGUAAUCAUUGUAGUCAGCUCAUGUAUCUCUGUCAUGUACAAUUCGCUACUACUCCCUUCGUUCUCAAAUAUUUGUCUUUCUAGAGAUUUCAACAAGUGACUACAUAUGAAGCAAAAUGAACGAAUCUACACUCUAAAAUAUGUCUACAUACAUCUGUAUAUUGUGUCCAUUUGAAAUGCCUAGAAAGACAAGUAUUUGGGAACGGAGGGAGUAUAAAUAUAUCAUGGUAUGUCAAAAGAAAUUACGGUUCUGAUAGAAAAUCAUCCUAAUCAAUUUGUUUUGACCCGAACAUCCUACUCCCUCCUUCCAUCUAUAUAGGGACUAAUACGUUUUUUAAGACUGCCUUUGACUAUUGAUAAGAUUAAUAGUACAUGACAUGCACAAUGUGAAAAUUAUAUCACUGAAAGCUCCUUUCACACACGAAUUUAACGGUGUGCUUUGUGUAAGUUGCAUGUCAUAUAUUAUUGGUCUAAUAUUUGGUUAAAGUUAGCCUCGAAAAACGCAUUAGGCCCUAUAUAGAUGGAAGGAGAGAGUAAUCAAUUUCAUCCUCACAACCAUGUUUCAUGAAAAAACAUGUUUAAUGAAGGUUAAUGAAACUCCAGAAAGAAAAAUAAUGUUGCUGGCAUGUGGGACCGUGGCCAAUUAGGGUCCGCUGCGGCCACUGCGAUAGAUGCCGAUAAGGCUCUAGUUAAGAUACUGUACGUGGCAUGUGCUGGUGGUGGGGAUCAGAAUAAUCAGCUGGCCUGUCUGGUCGGUGGAUGAUUUGCUGCCCGAUGAGAUGAGAUGAGACGAUAAUCAUUCAUUCCGUUUGCCAAGGAAAAAGAUGAUCAUUCUCAACUCGAGGCGACGGUAUGGAUAUGUAAUAAGUGUGAGUGAGGCAGCCGGCAGCCUGUCAAAGUCCCUCUUCUGACAAAUCGUGUAGUCAAAUGCCGGCAACAUGCGCCUGCAGCUCAGCUCAUGAACGAGAGACCCUAGAGCGUGCACGUGCAUCCACCUUGCUUUCGAGGUACGUCGUCGCUCGAUCCAAAGCGCGGGAUGAGAUGAGAUCGUACCCGGGUUGCUCGGCUCCCCUGGAAUUACUUGGAUAGAUGCACAUCCUCUCCGGCGAGUACUUGUUGCUGUGCCAAGAUAUAAAUCUUGUGGCAUCUGUACUAUUUUGUGCCAGAAAAACCCAAACAUUCAGGUGAGCCGGACGAGCAGGGGAUCUGGAACAGCUGCGUGAGUAGGAGCAUCUAUAGGCAGGCGUUUCAAACCCGUCUUAUACGUCUGGGAAGGUCGUCCGGUCAUUGACUGGUCAUGAUUUUUCGACCCGGACGGGCUCCAUAAACGGGUCUCAAAUGUUCGAGCUGACAAGCACCCCUCAUAUCCAGCUCCUAAAUAUGAGACAUCCGGGCGCGACCUAGCACGCCCGUCACGUCGGACCCGACAGCCUGACUUCACCGCAAAUUGCACCGAAUCCAUCAAACCCUUCUUCCUCCUCCUCCUCCCACCGCCCUCCAACCUUUCCCGCACCCGGACCCUCGCCAUCCUCCACGCUUGCUCCCAAUCCUCAUCACCGGCCCUGAUCCACCGUCGAAGAUGUCGUCCAGCCCGGCCCAGACCGCCGCGACAGAGACGCAGUCCGCCUUGUUCGUCAGCUGCGACUUGCAAGGCGGAGAACGUCGCCCGAAAGUUGCGGUGACGCAGACAGCAAGAGAGGGAGACGGCGACAGCGUCACAAGGAGGUACGGACAUGGUGGAUCAGUUGUCUCCUCCGUCGCGACGAAACCCUCUUGGAUGAGCAUGCGAAGAAGUGAUUUGCGAACAAGAAGAAAGAGAUCAACGACCGUAGAGAGUACGAGGCGGCGAGGGCGGCUACGACACGGAUGCAAGCGAAGAAGGCAACCCGGAUGCAGGUAGAGCAGGACGAGCAUGACACAUUCCGUCUGGAGCACGACGCAUUCUGCUCGGAGCAGGCGCCCGGCCGGUGGUCCGAGGCCACUAAUCAUGUUCGGACAUUGAUUUUAUUUUGGCAUGUCUGGUUUGUUGAACUAUGAUUUGCUUUACUUUGUUUCAAAUUUUGAAAUUUAGGCAAUUUGUAUCAUAUGAUCGACGUGCAUGGAUUGCAUGAAUUUAAAAAUUAAAAUAUAAGGUAUAUGAAUCUAGGGAACAAUAUUUGAAAGAUGUCCGGUCAAUGCCUGUGGACGCGUUCGUGGACAUUUGAGGGGCUGAAUUUGCCGAGCCCGGCGGUGGUGUUCUAGGAUAAGAAAAGGAGAGCGCCAUCCAAACCACAACUACCCCGUCAUGUCGAUCCCAGUCCAGGAUCUCUGUAUUAGAUAGAAUAGAUCCCAGUCGAGUGAUGAUCAGGAGUCUACCGCGGCGUGCGUAGGCUGGUGGCGGCGUCUCGGGGACGGCAGGGCACGGACGAUUGGACGGACGAGUGGUCGACGGCUCCCGCCCGCGCGCGUCGGUUGGGUGGGCGACGGACGGCGACAGGUGGUUGCCGCGUCUCCAUCGGCCGGGAACCGGACACCGCGGCACUGUGCCGUGAUCUGGGCACGGCCCGACUUGCCUCCGUGCGCCGGAACUUUCCUCGCCGUCUCGCUGGCGCCGCUGGCCACGCACGUACGCACGCACGCCGGGCCGAUCUUGUUAGUUCCAGCCGUGCAAGGCCCCCAUCUUGCUUUGCUGUGACCUGUGAAUCCGAAGAUGAUGCUCCGUUCCGCGGUAAAAUUUGUAUUGGUGCUGCAGUUUACGAAAUAUACCAACAGAGAUUCCAUGCUACCCGCCGAUGCAGAUGCGGGAAUCCCCGACGGUUGGUGGCGCGACACGGAGAAACUGCUGGCCGCCUCGUGCCCGGGACCGGACCGAUCGACCGGAUACAUGCUACAUGCUACAUGCCCAUAGCGCACAUGCACAUGCCAUGCCAUUCGUCGCCGGAUGACCCCAUCUGUACUAGUGUUGCACAAUGCGCGGCCCUGCUCCUGCAGAACUGUCUGUACCGGACGACAGUGCAAUCAACGUAUGAUUUGUCCCUCCAGCUACAGCCACAGGGGAGGAGAAAGAGAUAACACAAAUGGUGGACCGGUGGCAGUGCCCAUUGUUGAUGAUGCACCAGAAAUUUCCCAGUGAUAUCAGGCUCUGGCAGUUUCUUUUUCAGGCACAGUAGCAGAUAAGGUCCGGUCCAGGAGGUCUGCUGGUAUGUAUCUAUGCUCAUCACUUCACCAGUCACCAGAUCGAGUGUGGCAUGUUAGUACUAUGAUGAUAGAUCGAGCCUUGCCAAUCCAAAGCAUCAUCAGAUUACCGCGACUGCACUUGUUAUCGUGCUUUGUGUCCGAGGGCAUAAUGAUGCAUGAUUUGCUUGUAUAUCUGUUUUCAGAUGUUAAACUGACUGGCAAAUGAUAGAACGCAAUGCAUCCGGGGUUGCUUGCACUUCCUCCCAACUCUUGGAAACUUGCCGCUUGAUGGUAAAUCACGAGCUCAAUCAUAGGGCGUAAAGAUGGCACCAGUAGUGCAGCUUAAAGAUCCAUGUCAAACUCCACAAGGUUUUAUGAGGGAGGCCAUCUGUUUUCACCCGAAAGCAAAAGCAAAAGCGACGUCUUAGCUGUGGGUUGAUGAGGAGGAUUAAUUUGGUCUCAAGGGCAAGAAUGAUGGCGCCUGCACGUACGCGCGUACCAGUUGCCUUCAACUCGGACAUUAAUCAUUUGUGCUUGGGGUACCAUUUCACUUUGCCAACGCUUCAUCUCCAGCCUUCUUGGUGCCGAUCCUUCGGCUGCAAUAAACCUUGCAAUCGGCCCACUCUUGAGCAGUUGCCGAGCCUGGCCCCAUUGAGCUUUUCUUGGCUGUAAAGAGCUUUGGUACCUUAAGCAUGUACGAGAUCCAAUCUAACAAAUGAAAAGGGAGCAAUAAGUUUAACCAUUUUACCUAAUAAAGAACAGUUUCUGAUGUAAACUCACACAAUCAACACNNNNNNNNNNNNNNNNNNNNNNNNNNNNNNNNNNNNNNNNNNNNNNNNNNNNNNNNNNNNNNNNNNNNNNNNNNNNNNNNNNNNNNNNNNNNNNNNNNNNNNNNNNNNNNNNNNNNNNNNNNNNNNNNNNNNNNNNNNNNNNNNNNNNNNNNNNNNNNNNNNNNNNNNNNNNNNNNNNNNNNNNNNNNNNNNNNNNNNNNNNNNNNNNNNNNNNNNNNNNNNNNNNNNNNNNNNNNNNNNNNNNNNNNNNNNNNNNNNNNNNNNNNNNNNNNNNNNNNNNNNNNNNNNNNNNNNNNNNNNGACAUCUUUUGUUAGUCAGUGUGAAAACCAUCUAGUUUUGAUUUCUUGCAUGGAGACAAUUUUGGCAUGUGGCUUCCCAGUUACAGAAAUUUGAGAAAAAAAUUAAGCAAAUUUGAAAACUAUGUUUUCCCAAAGAAGUGAUUAAAUAUUCUAGCAUAAAAUAUAUGUGCGUGAAAGACCCAUGUGUUAUGUUCAACAUGAUUCAUUUUUUCAUUUCCCUUUUCUCAAGCCUCAUAUCUUCAAAAACUUUUCCAGAUAUUUUAUUAUUUUAUUAAAUAUUUCAAUUAUAUUUUCGAUCAUUUGGUCAUAAUUAGUUUAAAAUUGGAGUGUUCAAUAAUUUUUUGUUUUCAUAACUAAAUAGGUUUUUAUUGAAUAUUUGUUCCUGUUUUCCCAAAUCCUCAAAUUCUUUCGAUUUUCUGAAAGAAUAUUCUUUUUUGUUUCCUUUUUUUCAUUUUUUCAUGAUAACAUGGGUUGCCACUAUCUUAAAAUUAGAGGGCACUAAACUUACACCGCAGCGACAAAUCAUGGUUCAAAGUGUCGGCUUCUUGCCGGUUUGGCUUUGCUAUAUAUAAUAUUAGAUAUCGGACGAUAUAUUAGACAAUAUGUAGUUAUAUAUUUUUUUUCAUUAUUCUUGUCCAAACCAUGUCCUUUUAGUACAAAAAAUAUACUAUGUGAGUGCUUGUGCAGAAAAAAUUACGAUUCGAUGUUUGUCAAGAAAUAAUUAAAGAAAGAUUCAAAAAAAUCCCUACUCUAUUUUUUAUUUAUUUAUGAACAUUUACAAAGAAUUAUGCAUGAUUUUGUUAAUUUGAUGAAUUCUUAAAUAAUAAUCUUAUUUUCAACAUUUUAGAAAGGAAAUUCUCAUAUGUGUAUUAAUUGGUCCAUAUAGGUGGACGUAAAGUGUCAAAUAAUCGGUCAUAUGUUUAAAUAUACUGGUUUGCAUCGGCUGAUAUCAGUACAAGUGAUAUUUACAAGAUAACAAAAUGCUAUAUGCCCCAGGGAUAAUUCCUGGCCCAACAGGCGCCAAAGAGGAGCUCUCACCCAAGACCUCCUAUAUGGUCCGGUGAACAAUUAUUAAAUUUGAUGAACAAACUUUGAAUUCGAUGAACAUUUUUUGAACUUGAUGCAAAAAAUUGUAUUCGAAAACAACUUUGUUGAAAAAUUGUUUGAACAAAUUUUGAAUUCAAUGAGAUUUUUUGAAUUUGAUGAAUAUUUUUAGAAAACGAUGAACAAAAUUUGAGUUCAAUGAUUUUUUUACAUCGAUGAACAAAAAAAAUGUUCGUGAAUUUGAAAAUAUAAUUCAAAACAAAAGUGAAAAAGUAGAGAUGAAAAAAGUGGAAAAAAGAGAAAAGAAUAGGGAAAAAGGAAAAAAAGAAACGAAAAAUGAACCAACCCAUGAGAACGCCAAGCGCGCGAGGGGGUGCACGCGGUACGAGCGGUAUAGGUUCCCCAAGGGCUCUUAUUUCUCGCAAUAUGCGCUUGGAGGCCGACGNNNNNNNNNNNNNNNNNNNNNNNNNNNNNNNNNNNNNNNNNNNNNNNNNNNNNNNNNNNNNNNNNNNNNNNNNNNNNNNNNNNNNNNNNNNNNNNNNNNNNNNNNNNNNNNNNNNNNNNNNNNNNNNGAAAAUGUUCCAAAAUUCAAAAAUUGUGAAUUUGGAAAAAGUUUGUGGAGCCAAAAAAUGUCCCUGAAUUCGAAUAAUGUUCACGAAUUUGAAAAAUGUCCAUGAUUUCAAAAUAUGUUGAAUUUGGAUAUUGAUGAACAUUUUUUGUCAGAUGAACAAAUUUGAAUUUGAUGAACAUUUUUUGAACUUGAUGAACAAAUUGUCAAUUCAAAGAACAAUUUUUGGAAAUAGGGUGAACUUUUAAAAAAAUGUAUGAACAUUCUUGAAUUUGAUGAACCUUUUGAAAAAAUAUGGCGAACAUUUUUUGAAUUAGAUGAAAAAAAUUCAUUUUUUGAACUUGAUGAACAAAUUCUAUAUUCAAGAACACUUUUUUGAAAAUGGGUGAACUUAUUGAAAAGUGAAUGAACAUUUUUAAAAUUAUGGUGAACACAUUUUUAUUACGAAGAGCAAAUUUCGAAUUUCAUGAACAUUUUUUAAAUCAGAUGAGCAUUUUUUGAAUUUAGUGAACAAACAAAAAAUUGGAGGUGGGGNNNNNNNNNNNNNNNNNNNNNNNNNNNNNNNNNNNNNNNNNNNNNNNNNNNNNNNNNNNNNNNNNNNNNNNNNNNNNNNNNNNNNNNNNNNNNNNNNNNNNNNNNNNNNNNNNNNNNNNNNNNNNNNNNNNNNNNNNNNNNNNNNNNNNNNNNNNNNNNNNNNNNNNNNNNNNNNNNNNNNNNNNNNNNNNNNNNNNNNNNNNNNNNNNNNNNNNNNNNNNNNNNNNNNNNNNNNNNNNNNNNNNNNNNCGUCCUACGCGCCGAAUAGGAGGUGCCCUCUCACCCACAGAUGUCAGAAAGUUGGCGCGACGCCUGCGGGCGCUCACUCAUGGGCCUUGUUUAUUAGCUUCGUAGCGAUUUUAUUGCACUUUUUUGCGGUUUAGUUUGGUUUUUGUCAUUGUUAAUCUCAUUUUUAGUGGUUCUGUUCUUUCUUUUAUUCAGUUUCUUUGUUUUGAUCAUCUUUCCUUUAUUUUCUAUUUUUCUUUAUUAUGUUUCUUUUUUCCCCUUCUGCCUUUUGUGUACUAUACAAAACUGUUCAUGGUAUAUUAAGAAAAUGUUCACCGUAUAUUACAAAUUAGUUUAUAUUUCAUUAUAAUAAUGUUCAUCCUAUAUUUAAAAAAUAUUUAACAUAUAUUGAAAAAAUAUCUAUUGUGCAUUUUUUUCAGCGUAUAUUACAAAAAUCUCAAUGUACUUAAAAUAUGUUCAUUUUAAGUUAAAAAAAGUUUAGCGCCAAUUAUAAAAAAAUGUUUAUUGAUAUUCAGAAAUGUUUAAUGUGUAUUUGAAAAUAAGAAUAGAACGGAAAACAUGAUUGGUAUAGUGAAUCGGAUGUGUACAUGGUGCUCUCCACCUCCAAUCAAAACAUCUGCCACAGGUCGGUUUGCAACUUGUCGUCGCGUAUCAAGGUCUUGAGGAAGCCGUGAUGUGUUGUUGGUGUAGUGACGCUUGGAUAUAUUUAGGUGUCGUGAAGUGCUUUCUCCACCCAGCGAGCCUUUCCAUGUUGUCAAAGUAAGACACCGGGCCUUGGAUCUUGCUCCUUCUUGCGAUGUUGAUGAGCUCUUCUUGGCAUCAACCUCUGCACCCCUGAACCAUAUGCAUACGUUGCCAAGGCGCGGUAGGAAAAUCCUCUGGCAGUUCUCCUUCGUGUCGACAUGAUCUCUUCCUCCAAAGGAUAGUUGAACUUCUCGGUGAUGGGGAGAAGGUCGCCAUUCAUUGCUUUAACCUUUCACUCGACUACACUCCAAGAGUACCACACACAAGGCAAUGUUCUUCUCGGUUGAUUCAUUCACCUUUGCUUGGCUACUUCAACACCAUCCAUCGGUGUGGUCGUCGUUGUCGGCGUCUUCUGGUCCGCCAAUGAGGGUGGUGUUCUGGUUGCCUUCACGUGAAUGCCACUCUUCUUGGGAGAUGAUGAAAGUGGCACCGCCUUGUUCCUUUGUUCCAUAUUGGCUUGUGUGGUGGCACUAAGCGGCUGAGUAGGUCCGCUCAUGGCACUCCAAGUCACGGGAGACGCAAAACUUGAUCCUGUCAUUUUCUUGAACGACGCCAUCAUCGGGUCGUAAACGUACCUGAGUGUGCUGAAGCACUAAAUCCUCGAGUUUGUACAGAACUUGACGAUUUCUUCAACGUCUCUCGCGCUUGCGUUGGUUCUCCGUUGGAAAACCUCUAGUCCUCAAUGGCACCGGUGGCACAGAUAGAAGUGUUGGUGUAGGGCGUCGUGUGGGUGAUGAAGUCAUGUCCAUCGUCGCCUGCAGCUGUGGCCAAUCUCCUAGCCUGGGAGGGGACAAAGGUCAUGGUGGAAGCGUCGGCCACGGAGGCUCCCGUGGUCGCCACUACUGAGUGGGCUUAGGGUUCCUCUCAUUGCGUUGAUGUCUUAACCGUCAGUUCCAACGUUGCGGCAUGUUGGGAUGGCCCCGUUGGUGGAAGUGUCGGGUUGGUGAAGAUUAUCGUCGAGGCACCAAAGUUCGGUGCUCAUGUUGGCCCUGAGCUUGGCACCUCGUCCUCCCUGCAACUUGUGUUGAGAAUGUACUUGGCGUCGUUGGUGAAGGAAAUAUGCCCUAGAGGCAAUAAUAAUGUUAUUAUUUUACUUCCUUAUAUCAUGAUAAAUGUUUAUUAUUCAUGCUAGAAUUGUAUUAUCCAGAAACAUAAUACUUGUCUGAAUACAUAGAGAAACUAAACGUCACUAGUAUGCCUCUACUUCACUAGCUCGUUAAUCAAAGAUGGUUAUGUUUCCUAACCAUAGACAUGUGUUGUCAUUUGAUUGACGGGAUCACAUUAUUAGGAGAAUGAUGUGAUUGACAUGACACAUUCCAUUAGCUUAGCACCCGAUCGUUUAGUGUGUUGCUAUUGCUUUCUUCAUGACUUAUACAUGUUCCUAUGACUAUGAGAUUAUGCAACUCCCGUUUGCCGGAGGAACACUUUGUGUGCUACCAAACGUCACAACGUAACUGGGUGAUUAUAAAGGAGCUCUACAGGUGUCUCCAAAGGUAAAUGUUGGGUUGGCGUAUUUCGAGAUUAGGAUUUGUCACUCCGAUUGUCGGAAAGGUAUCUCUGGGCCCUCUCGGUAAUGCACAUCACAUAAGCCUUGCAAGCAUUGCAGCUAAUGAGUUAGUUGUGAGAUGAUGUAUUACGGAACGAGUAAAGAGACUUGCCGGUAACGAGAUUGAACUAGGUAUUAAGAUACCGACGAUCGAAUCUCGGGCAAGUAACAUACCGAUGACAAAGGGAACAACGUAUGUUGUUAUGCGGUCUGACCGAUAAAGAUCUUCGUAGAAUAUGUGGGAGCCAAUAUGAGCAUCCAGGUUCCGCUAUUGGUUAUUGACCGGAGACAUGUCUCAGUCAUGUCUACAUUGUUCUCGAACCCGUAGGGUCCGCACGCUUAAGGUUUCGAUGACAGUUAUAUUAUGAGUUUAUGAGUUUUGAUGUACCGAAGUUAGUUAGGAGUCUCGGAUGUGAUCACGGGCAUGACGAGGAGUCUCGAAAUGGUCGAGACAUAAAUAUUGAUAUAUUGGACGACUAUAUUCGGACACCGGAAGUGUUCCGGGUGAUUUCGGAGAAAACCGGAGUGCCGGAGGGUUACCGGAACCCCCCCGGGAGAAGUAAUGGGCCUUAUGGGCCUUAGUGGAGAGAGAGAGAGAGAGGGGCGGCCAGGGUGGGCCGCGCGCCCCNNNNNNNNNNNNNNNNNNNNNNNNNNNNNNNNNNNNNNNNNNNNNNNNNNNNNNNNNNNNNNNNNNNNNNNNNNNNNNNNNNNNNNNNNNNNNNNNNNNNNNNNNNNNNNNNNNNNNNNNNNNNNNNNNNNNNNNNNNNNNNNNNNNNNNNNNNNNNNNNNNNNNNNNNNNNNNNNNNNNNNNNNNNNNNNNNNNNNNNNNNNNNUCCCCCUUCCUUUCCCCCUCCUAGUAGGAGUAGGAAAGAGGGGAGUCCUACUCCUACUAGGAGGAGGACUCCUCCUCCUUGGCACGCCAUAGGGCCGGCCGGCCUCCUCCCCUUGCUCCUUUAUAUACAGGGGCAGGGGGCACCCCUAGACACACAAGUUGAUCCACGUGAUCGUUUUCUUAGCCGUGUGCGGUGCCCCCUUCCACCAUACUCCUCGAUAAUAUUGUAGUGGUGCUUAGGCGAAGCCCUGCGACGGUAGAACAUCAAGAUCGUCACCACGCCGUCGUGCUGACGGAACUCUUUCCCGACACUUUGCUGGAUCGGAGUCCGGGGAUCGUCAUCGAGCUGAACGUGUGCUAAAACUCGGAGGUGUAGUAGUUUCGGUGCUUGAUCGAUCGGGCCGUGAAGACGUACGACUACAUCAACCGCGUUGUCAUAACGCUUCCGCCGUCGGUCUACGAUGGUACGUAGAUCACACUCUCCCCUCUCGUUGCUAUGCAUCACCAUGAUCUUGCGUGUGCGUAGGAAAAUUUUGAAAUUACUACGUUCCCCAACAGUUGGGUCAUGGAUCCUUCUCUGAAUAUUGUUCAUCUUCUUUGAAAGGUUGAUGCGCAACUAUUUUGGUACUCCAGCAGUUUUCCUAGACAACUAUUCGGUCAUCAUUCAGGAUGUCCAAGGAUUUGUUUAUUGACAUUUGCAAUUUUGUGAUGCAACAUGAUCGAGCCUUCGAGCAGAGGAGGAAUGGCGCCAGUUUGCUUGGACAUAGCACUGAGGACUGGCUAGAUAUUGGGAUCAGAAGAACCUUUGUACAUCAUGACUGCUUGUGUGAUCAAGCACAACAUGAUCGUUGAGAAUGACCGUGAUUUUUUUGGAUUAGACCUUCUAUGACCUCAUGGAAAGACACCUUCGGCUGAGUAGAAGGGAAGAUCAAAUCAAGCGCUUCAUUAUGGUGUACCAUGACAUCAGAGAGUCCGAUACGCACGAUGAUCUUCAAAAAGAUAUCAUGGAGGAGUGGUGGCAUGGUUUGGGGAGCAAGCCUCCUAAUUUCAUCUCAAUGUUUGUUGUAUUGCGCAUGAACUAUGUUAUAUUGUUUGCUGAGCCUUGUUGUAUUUGUGUUGCAUUUCAUGUUGUGGAUUUCAUGAAUUAUGUAAUAAUUUGAUGUUGUGAAUUGAUGAAAUUGUUGUUAUAUUUGUUUAAGUAUUAAAUUUGAGAUGAUUUUGCUUCACAUAUGUUUGAAGUUGUUGCGCUGCUGGCCUUUUCUACAUCAUUCAUUGGAGGCCCUAUUUUACACCAUCUGUUGGAGUUGAACAUUUCUGAUAAUUUUAAAAGAGCAUUUUGGUGAUGUAAAUUUACUUGAAUCAUUUUUUGAUGAUGUAUUUUACGUGAUGUAUUGGAGAUGCUCUUAAAGGCAACAUUUAUUGUAAAAAAACAUGUACCAUAUAUUUGCUGGAGAUGAAACAACACAGGCACACAUACAGAGAGCAAAUGUUUCUUUUCCACGACAAACCACAGAUGUUUUACUUUUUCAUUGAGAAAGAGGACACCAACAGCAUGCACACACUCAUACAUUAUUGAUUAUUGAAUGACAAUGCCAAGCAAGCCAAACAUUGAUGCCGAUGAAUUGGCUUACAAAAAGGAAAAUAAAAACCCCAAGAUGAUGCACAUUGGAUAUGCCUCGUGACGGUAUAGAAUGCCUUCACAGUUCCCUCGGGGCUACCAGGAGAUAUGUGUAGGAAUACACGAUUGAUUACUGUGGCAUGGAGAUGCCGAAGUCAAAUCCGGUGCCUUGCAGCGCCUGUUCGACGAUUGCAUCGAGCCUUGCCGCCAUCUCUGGCGUCAUGUGGUUGAUCCAGUCACCGGCCACCCCCUUCCUGAAGAAGGAAUCGUUCAUCAUGGGUUCGUCAUUAAUCCGGUUGCCGCUCUGGUUCACCUCCAGCUUCUUUAGCUUGCCAAGGCUGCACAACUCCAAGAUGGCCUCUAGGACGCCGGCCUUCUCCUCCGCCUCGGAGAAUGCGCACCCCAAAAACUCCGCCAGCCUCCUAAGAUUGCAUUGCGGGUCUCGUAGCAUCUCCUCGUACCUGAGGAACAACACCUUGUGGGGCCUUCUCCGGCUCUCCUCCCAAUGCUCGAGGGCGUGGCGCCAAUAAGGGCCCGCACCUGUGCGGCCCUCGCAAAACAAAUCGAAGACCUCCUCGAACUGGACCUGCUCGGGGUUUGGGAGGUAGGUGCGCAUGAACCACCACCACGAGACGACCACGUCCUUGGGAUCCCGACAGAUGUAUACGAUCCGGCACCCGCAAUCAUCAUCAUUGAUGCGCUCCGGCAACAAGGACAAUGGGAAGUGGGAGCCGAAGAUACGCGGGGAAGGGUACGCCUCGAUGAUGCCCUGCACAACAUCGACCGGUUGCCGAUAGAUUGCGUGGAUGAAUUUGACGCAGCCAUGCGGGUUUUGGUGGAGCAGAGGGUGCUCCUGGCUGGAUGGCGGGUGGACGUGCCGGUGCACAGUGGCGAAGGCUAGAGAUUUAAGCCAUGUGGUGCCAGACUUGGGGCAGCUCACGAGGAAGAUGUCCGUUGGCUUGGGCUCGAAGUGAUCGCGGACUGCCGCCAGGGCCGACAGGUGCCACUCGGGGAACCAGUACCCACGGUACUGUCGCCUCUGCAUGUCGGCGGGCGGCGGCACUAGCCGCUUCUCGACGGGCAGCGACGGGAUGAGCUCGGUGAGGUUGUCGGCAUCGUUCCUCGCCGUCAGCGCGUCACCGAGGCAACUAGGCUGGAGUUUUUGCUCCGCUACACGGGCCAUCUCGUGCCUAUUACAAACCUCGUAGGAGUAAGUGCAAGUCUGAUGAGCAAGCGCCAAGGAGCAAGCUGCACAUAAAUACUCAGUUGAAGGCGGACAGUUGCGGAGUCACUUUCAUUCAUGGUUGUUGGGACAAACUACAAAGUGAAGGCAUCUCUCUUUCUCGUGUUGGGCGUGGGAAUUUUCUAUCACUCCCUCCGUCCCACUAACAAGUGGUUGCCGCGUCCGCGUCCAUAUCCACCGGACACCGGGGCGCUGUGCUGGGAUCUGGCCACGCCCGAGUUGCUUCCGUGCAACAGAACGGAACUUUCCCGGUCGUCUCGCUGGGCAGGGCGCUGCUGAUCACGCACGCACGCACGUACGCCGGGUCGAUCUUGUUAGAUGCAGCCCUGCAAGGGGCAAAAAUGGAGCUGGAGAUAGCCCGGCGGAUGCUAGCUUGUUCCGCCUUAGCGUAACCUGCAAAUCCAACUAAUCCGGAGAUGGGAUGAGCUUCACUUCUGCAGUACACAUUCUCUUCUAUGAAAUACUCCCUUCAUUCUAAAUUACUCGUUGCAAAAAUAAAUGUAUCUACUAUCACUAUAAAAAAAGGCAGAUCCAAACAAUCUAAUUCAUUCAUCUAUCAAAUCUAAUGGUCUAUAAUCUUUUCAUGUUUAACACUACAAGCCACGCAUUAAGCCACCACUAAUCCAUGCAUCGCUAAGCCCGCCGUGCCAAAAAGAAAAAAAACUGCCACAACCCACGCACGCACGCACGCCCGCCCGCACACCCCACUCCUCCCAUCGCGCAUCGCCGCACGCCGCCUCCCACUCCUCCCACGCCGCGCCGCGCCGCACGCCGCCUACGUCGGCGGCAGCGGCGGCAAGGUCCAUCUCCUCCCUCAAGCUGCGGCGGGCUUGAGACACAGCGGGCUCGACCACGAAGAUGGAUUUCUCCGACGGGGCAUUCGAUUCCUGGCCUCUGUUCCUCGACCUCGCGUUAGGCACAUAUGCCCCAGCGGUCGUUCCUCCUCGUGGCCAGCGACGCAGAUGCCCCUGCUGUCGUUCCUCGCACAACCGAGGAUGAGGAACUCCUCUACGGUGAGACGCAUUGCGUAGCCUCUGCCCUCCGGCAUCAUGGCAGCAUGCCGAUGCCCACCAAAUGUUCGAUGAGUUCCCCUAAUUGACCUCUCUAUAUAGCUAGCCCUCUUUUUUUUGAACACAAGAAAACUUUAUUGAUGAGCAGGUGCAUUUUAUAGAAAGAAGCAUGAAGGGACUCAUGCUAGAACCAGAAACUAUGUCCUUUCCGGGACAUUGACCUUGAUCUGCUUGUGUACAUAAGCAACGAAGAGCUAAGGACCUUGACUGAAUCCGCAAAGCUAAUCGAGCUUGAUGAUCAGCUUUUACAUUGUUGCUUCUGUUGAUGUGAGUGAUCUUGUUACGACUAAAAGAGGGAGAGGCUUGGAUCUCUGCAAGGAGAGGUCUGUUCUCCCAACAUCCUGGAGCAGCAAAUACCGUUGAUGACCUUGCCGCCGAAACUAACACCGAGCAGUCGGUGCAAAAGUGAGGGUUCUGAACCUGCAGAAGAUCUGCUAACUUAGUAGCUAGUAGCAGCCCAUAAGUCUCAGCCUGGAGGGGUGAUGAAACUGGAGGCGAAAGCGCGGAGACGUGUAGACGUUGGAGGUGCCGAUUGUCUUGCAUGGUGAUGAUUACUCCUUAGCCAGCAUGGCCCAGCUCUGAAUCUGUGCGUCUCUCCCAAGCUGCGUCGCAAAAGAUGACAUUCCCUGUAAGGUUAUUACAGUCAUGUGUAUGCGUGGUUGUUGAAGAAGCCUGCAACUGCUCCUGAGCUUUAUCGCUUUCUUGUUGCUGAGCGAAGUUCUUAUCUUUUAAAUUGGUUGCUUCAAUUAUUGCAUUUGCUGAAGCAUACACCUGGGAAGGCUUGCAUAAUUUGCUGCAAAAUAGACACUCGUUCCGAGCUUUCCAAAGACACCAUAGAAAAGUAUAGAGAGUUUAUUUUUGGAUGUUGAGAUGUAAUCAAAGUACGAAUCAUAUCAGGAAUAGAAUGAUAAUUUUCAGCCAGAGAUUCCGUUUCAAUAAACCAGGGAUAGCAAAACCAUGCAGCUUUAGAAAAAGGACAGAGAAACAACAUAUGCAUUUCAUCUUCUAAUAGUCCACAUCUAGAGCAGUUUUCAUUGAUAUGUUUGGAGUACCUACCUGCCCUCUUACCUGUAGGAAGUGCUUUCCUAAGAAGCCUCCAAGCAAAUGUCUAAACUCUUGGUGCCAUUUGCUUAUCCUCACACACCUGAUUAAGAAGGGAAAUGACCUGCAUAGGGACAAUUUUGGGCCUUUGCCUUGGUGGAAGCUGAAGAUUGUUGAAGCAGUGCUUGUAAGCACUUUUGGAAGAGAAUUCACCCGCAGGAGUUAGUUUCCAAACCAACAUAUCCUUACCAUUUGCCUUAAUAAUAGGAGUUUGUAGAAUGGUAUUAGCCAAUUCAGGAGUGAAAAGAGAAUUAAUCAAGUUUGCAUUCCAGUUCUUUUGACCCGGUAUCCAAAGAUCUUUAACUUGUGCAGGGUAAGAAAAAGAUUGCUGCUGAAUGAUAAAAUGAUCAUAAAUAGUUUCCCAUCCGGAAAACCAAGGAGAGCUCCAAAUAGAACUAGCACCAUCAACAAUUUGGCAAAUUGUGGCUGAGAUUAGAAGAGGCUUUACCUUUAGAAUUGCAGACCAAAAGGCAGAUUUAGGUUUGUUCGGCCGGGCUCUCCAAAUGGAUGUAUCAUGAUGAUACUUUGCCUUGAGAAUCAAUGCUAGCUGACUUUGCGGCUCUUUUGCCAAUCUCCAUGUCGUCGAGAGAACAAGUCCUUGGUUGAUUGCCUGCAAAUUUCUAACACCAAGACCACCAAUUUUCUUCUCAAUACAUACAUCAGCCCAUGCCCUAAGGCACAAGCUUCUAGUAGUCUGAUCAUCUUGAAUACCUGUCCACCAAAAGUUCCUAAUGAUUGUUGUUAGUUUAGCAAGGAACUUUUUUGAAAAAAGUAUGUUGGACAUGUAAUAUACAGGAAUGGAAGAGAAAACGGAUUUUAUGAGAGUUAAUCUUGCCGCAUGAGAGAGUCUGUUGGCUUUAUAUGUGCUAAGUUUGGACUUGAAUUUAUCGUAAACAAAGUUAUAAGCAGCUGAUCUAUCUUUAGAAGGUAAAACAAGUGGAUGGCCUAAAUGGACGAAAGAACUGUCAAUGUCUGGAGCUGGAAAGAUUCUCUUAAUAUCUUGUUUAACCUGCAUCGUAACAUUAUUGCUGAAUAAGAUACCAGAUUUACUCCAGUUUGGAGUUUGCCCUGAAUCACAACAAAAAUGGUCUAAAAGCUGUAAAAUAGUAUUAGCUUCCUGCACAUUAGCUUUGCCACAAAUAAUCAGGUCAUCUGCAAACAUCAAAGAGUGAAUAGGAGGGCAAUUUGGUCCAAGCGAAAUACCUGUCAGGUGAUUAGCUUGCAAGGCAUCCUGUAACAUAAGAGAUAACUCAUUUACUGCAAGGACGAAAAGAUACGGUGACAAAGGACAUCCCUGUCUAAUGCCUCUGGAACUAUUGAAUUUUGCAAAAGAUUGACCAUUAAUGAUCACUGAAAACGUUGGGGAUGAAAUGCAUGCAUGAACAAGUUUUAUGAAAUGGCCAUGGAGACCUUUACGAGCAAGAGCCGAGACAAUGAAGUGCCACUCAAUUCUAUCAAAAGCUUUGGCAAGGUCAAUUUUCAGUAUAAAAUCAAGGCUCUUCCAAGAAGCAAGAGAGAAUGAGUGGGCAAUUUCUUGGGCGACAAUAAUAUUAUUGCUUAUGCGCCUACCUUCAAUGAAAGCUUGCUGAGAGGGGUGAAUGUAAUCAGGCAAAUGUCCUUUCAACCUAUUGGCUAAAGAUUUAGCAAUGAUUUUGUAAACAACAUGAGUAUCAUUGAGAUGAGGCGGAACAAUACCCGUGGUGUAGAAAUUUCUUACCAAAUUGGUCACAUCAUCUCCUAUCCAACUCCAAGCCGAAAGGUAGAAACCCACAUUGAAUCCAUCAGGUCCAGGAGAGGCAUUCUUCUUCAUGCCUUUGAGAAUUUCCCAUAUCUCAUGUUUAUCAGGGAUCGAGUAGGUGAAGUCGUUUGUAUCUUGCGGCAAAGUAGUAUCCAAACUGGGCCUGUCAUUAUUAGUAGAAGAUGAGAGAAAAAUAGUUCUAAAAUAAUUAACAAACUCCUUGGCAAUAUCAUCUGGAUCAAACAAAUUAUUACCAUGAGUGUCCUUAAUAGAAACUAUGCGAUUUCGACGCUUACGCUUUUGAACAGCAUUGUGAAAGAAGGAUGUGUUCCUGUCACCUUUGGUCGCCCAGUGUUUUUUUGCACAUUGCCUAUAAAAUUCAAUGAGCUUGGUCAAAUUACCUUCAUAUUGGGCAACUAGGCUUGCCUGAAGGGAAUAGUCUUGGAGAUGCACCGGCUUCAUUUGAAUCUCAUUGAUCUGAUCCUGAAUACAAUCAAGUUGAUGCUGUAAAGGUUUUUUCUUUUUGCACCACCUUUUCAAAGUCCCUGCAAGGUUAUUGGUUCUGACAUGGAAUGGUCUAUUAACCGAGGAGUCCCAAGCAUUUUUAGCAAUGCCCUGGAAAUCUUCCUCAAAAGUCCACCAAUUUCAAAUUUAAAGUGUAGUUUAGGCCUACGAAACUGAGAAUCAGUGGAUAUCAGAAUAGGUGCAUGAUCACUCAGUGAAUGAAUGAUUGGUAAAUUAAAAAUAUUAGUAUUAGGAAACAUAACACACCAAUCUGCAUUGGCAAGACAACGAUCAAGCCUUUCAAAGAUAGGUCUUGAGGAGAACCGCAUAUUUGUCCAAGUAUAAGCCGGCCCACUAAACCCCAGAUCAAACAGACCACAUUGCUUGACAUAGUUAUUGACAGCAUGCAUACGGUUCUUAUUCACAUUGAGAGAAGUAGUUUCCGUAUCACACAUGAUAUCAUUCAGAUCACCGAAUUAAACAAUUGGCUUCCCUAUGUUAUCAUUAACAAAAUUUAGAACAUGAUCCCAAAUUAGGUUAGUGUGGCCAUGAUGGGGAUCUCCAUAAACACAAGCCAGAACAAAUUCCACAUUGGUAAUUUUAUUGACAACAAGGGCUAAAAUCAUAUAGUGAUUAGAGAACUUGACAGAGACACAAACUUCAUCAGACCAAAGUAUCCAAAGACCACCAGAACGACCAACAGAUGGAACUACGAAGCUAUCGUUAUUAUUAAAUCGAGAGUUAAGAUGAGAAGAACUGUACCUUGAUGUUCUAAUUUCAGAUACGAAAGUUACCCGAGCACAGGUGGAAUUCAUCAAUUUUGCGAGGUACUCCAUCUUAGUAGAGCUGCUGAGGUCCUUGCCCAUGCCACGACAGUUCCAGCCAAUGAGCUUCAUGGCAAUCACAACUCCAGUUCAGCUUCUCCACAGACAUAAAUUUCAGAAAGUGUUGCUCCUAUUCGAAGCAGCCGUGCUCUCUGUCCAAUUCAGAAACUGGUUCCUUUAGCUUUCCUAGCCAAGCGAGAAGGACGAGGCCAAGGCGCUCCAGCAGCACUUGGCUGAUAGUCUGACGGAUCUGAGGGAUGGGGAGGAUUUCCUAUUCGACACGGGAAUCCGGCGGCACCACAAGGAAAUCCUGUUGAGGCAGUAGGAGUCUCGGACGGUGGUGACGGAGGCGCGAUGCCAUAGCGGUGGAAGGGCGCAGGCAGAGAGGCUGGUGAGCGAGAAUCGAUCAAGGAAUCCGUUGAUAUAGAUGAUACGGAGAGAGAUCGGUUGAUGGGUUGGAUAGAAAGGAUCUAGCCUCACUAGUUGGAGCAGGGGAAUUGAUGAGAUCUGGAAGGAACAAGAUAAAAGGAUAAGGAAAAUUAGAGAAGGGAAUUGUUGAGAUCUGGAAGGAACAAGAGAAAAGGAUAUGGAAGAUUAGAGAAGCAGUUGGGGAUCAGAAAAGGAAGAAGAAGAAUCAAGAGGAGAAAUCAGGAGGAGGAAGGACGGCAUGACGCCAAUCUCUUUAUUUCAGUCUCUCACUGCUAUCCGUGUCAUCCAUAUAUGAUCUUAUUUUGUUUUAGUUUUCUGCUAGAUUUAACACUGGCAUUUGUUUAAAUCCUAUCCAUGUUGAACCAUUGAAAGGGAGCACACAAAGCUGCAGAGGCAACAACUCCAAAGGAAUCAGCAUGGUGAUGCAUUUCUAUAUGUUCAGUGUGACUAGAAACCAACAUGCUGACUACUAAACCAUAUGCACAGGAUGGUAAAAAAUUAUUAUUCUAUAUGCACAGGAUCGUAGAACAUUAUUAUUAAUGUCUACAUUAGAAAGGAUGCAAACUCUAAACAAGUGAUUGGUGAAUAAUUUUUUAUCUAGGUUCAGAAGUUGAUAAUCCAUUACAGUUCUUUCAUUGUGCAGGCAACCUCAGGUAUGACGAAAUGGCUUUGUUUUGCUUCUGUCAUCACAUUGCUGAAUACGACUUUGAAUCUCAACUGCACUUGACUGCACCUUCUAUCUUGAUCUGCUUGACAACUUAUAAUUUGCACAAGCAUUCCCCUGCAUAGUUUGUCCUUGGUCUAAAAGAACAAUUCCUGAUGAUAUAUUCCAAAUCAGGUUGUUGCCUGGAUCCUAUGAACAAUAUGUACAGUCACGCUGUCGUUAUCCGUUUACCAUCAAGUAAGUUUUCACUACAUUUUUUUCCAGUUCCAUUUCAGAAUCCCUAAACCAUAUAGAUUGCAGAGCAAAGCUAGAUGAUGGACAUCUUCACUAAUAAGUAGGUCUGCUUACCACAUUCCUCUUGUUUUCUACAGUUGAGGAUUUCAAAUUAUUCAAGAAUGCGUGACGCACAAGGCUGUAAGGUUUCUCCACUUGCAUCCAUAGAAAUCUGGGUGUUGGUAAAUUCUGUUUUGGAUGGAUUUUGAAGGGAACUUUGUUUUUAUCGAGGAUCAGACAAUACUAAGAGACUAACAAGAAUACAGUAAAUUACUGGAUCAUUCAUAGUUCCCUAGCGUAGAAUAGAACCCGUUGUGGUAACUAUCUUGGGGCUCUAGAAAUAAUUCCUCUGAAACUGAAUCAUUCAGUCAUACCUUCACUUUAGUAAAUAAUGGCUCUGGAUGCUGGGAUCUCUCAUCUUGGUUAUUUUUUAUAUACUGCAUUGCAAAACCAGAAGCUCAAGCUAGGUUAGGCUAAGGCUAGGCUCACAAAAUAAUGAUGAUGAUUACUUAGAUAAAAUUGUUCUGGGACUUUCCGUGAUCUAAUAUUUUUUCCUGAGGCUGAAUUAAUGGGUAUGGAAUUCUAUUUGGUCGAGUUGCUUAUCUGAAUGCAACCUUUGAAUAGUUAAUGAAAUUCCUGGGAUUUGGUGUUGCCAGAUUGUUCAUGUGAACAUGGCAGGAGCCUUCAUUUGUGGCCUAACAUUUUUUUACCAGUUAUUAUCUUCUCAUGUAAUAGUUGUAAAUUUGCAGUCUAGAUUAGCACAUAUAGUGACUACUCAUGCUUGUCAUCACUGUACCUAAAUGAUGUCUUCCUUGCGUACUUGUCAUCACUGCACCUUCAAUCGACACUGUUAUUUAUGUUGAAUGUCAAGACCUUCAGUAUUGUACACCAUUUUUAUGAAUGCUUAGCCUAAACGUCAUGGUUGUUUAUGUUAGCCUUGCUUUAUAAGUUAGAAUGAUGGGCCAAGAGCUUCCGUUUCUUUUGGGUUGGGUUUUAUUUACUACGAAUAUACCUAGCGAUACAAAGAGCACAUGAAUUAUUCCUACAAUAUUUUUAGUGUUCAGAUAGAGUUAAGAAAAUUAUGGUGUUACCAAAUCUAUUUAGUUCAUGAUUUUUGGUAAUUAAUAUUCUAGCCCGGUGAUGGAUUAGGUUGAUGGGUCAACAUCUUCAGUCAUCUUCACUUUGCAAGUUGAACUAUUAAUGCUUAGUUUUAUUGUAGAGGGGCUUACUUCAGUUUGCAGAACUACCAUGAUAAAUAGACAAACUGUUUAUUGACAAAGGGGAUUUGUUUUUAUGCAUUCAUAGUUAUUCAUGUUAUAGGCUGGUCCUCUUUUGAGGCUACUGAUUGCAUUAGGAAGAGGAUGUUUUCUUUCGAAAAGGUUAGAAAGAGGAUGUUGAACUAAACUUCCCUUAGUUCAUUCCUUGUAUUUUUCUCAUGUUUCCUCGCAAUGGAAGGAGCACGAUAGCUUGUGGAUGGUGCUAUGGUGCAAGCGUGUAGUGGACUUGGAGGCCAGGAUUUUAGCUACAAGAAAAGAAUGAGGCUACAACUGGUGGACAAGUGACAUGACCACGAUAAGGUUAGUUUCAUGUUGGGGUAUUAUUUUGAUUAUAUCAUGGUAGUGAAGGAAAUAUGCCCUAGAGGCAAUAAUAAAGUUAUUAUUUAUUUCCUUAUAUCAUGAUAAAUGUUUAUUAUUCAUGCUAAAAUUGUAUUAACCGGAAACAUAAUACUUGUGUGAAUACAUAGACAAACAAAGUGUCACUAGUAUGCCUCUACUUGACUAGCUCGUUAAUCGAAGAUGGUUAUGUUUCCUAACCAUAGACAUGAGUUGUCAUUUGAUUAACGGGAUCACAUCAUUAGGAGAAUGAUGUGAUUGACACGACCCAUUCCAUUAGCUUAGCACCCGAUCGUUUUGUAUGUUGCUAUUGCUUUCUUCAUGACUUAUACAUGUUCCUAUGACUAUGAGAUUAUGCAACUCCCGUUUACCAGAGGAACACUUUGUGUGCUACCAAACGUCACAACGUAACUGGGUGAUUAUAAAGGUGCUCUACAGGUGUCUCCAAAGGUACAUGUUGGGUUGGCGUAUUUCGAGAUUAGGAUUUGUCACUCCGAUUGUCGGAGAGGUAUCUCUGGGCCCUCUCGAUAAUGCACAUCACUUAAGCCUUGAAAGCAAUGCAACUAAUAAGUUAGUUGCAAGAUGAUGUAUUACAGAACGAGUAAAGAGACUUGCCGGUAACGAGAUUGAACUAGGUAUUGAGAUACCGACGAUCGAAUCUCGGGCAAGUAACAUACCGAUGACAAAGGGAACAAACGUAUGUUGUUAUGCGGUCUGACCGAUAAAGAUCUUCGUAGAAUAUGUAGGAGCCAAUAUGAGCAUCCAAGUUCCGCUAUUGGUUAUUGACCAGAGACGUGUCUCGGUCAUGUCUACAUUGUUCUCGAACCCAUAGGGUCCGCACGCUUAACGUUACGAUGACAAUUUCGUUAUGAGUUUAUAUAUUUUGAUGUACCGAAGGUUGUUCGGAGUCCCGGAUGUGAUCACGGACUUGACGAGGAGUCUCGAAAUGGUCGAGACAUAAAGAUUGAUAUAUUGGACGACUAUAUUUGGACACCGGAAAGGUUCCGGGUGAGAUUAGGACAAUACCGGAUCACCGGGAGGUUAUCGGAACCCCCCGGGAGGUAUAUGGACCUUAUUGGGCCUUAGUGGAAAGGAGGGGAAAGGAGCAAGGGAGGGGGCGCCCCCCAAGCCCAAUCCGAAUUGGGAGGGGGGCCGUCCCCCCUUUCCUUCCUCCCUCCUUCCUCUUCCUUCCCUCUCCUACUCCUAAUAGGAAAAAGGGGAGUCCUACUCCCGGUGGGAGUUGGACUCCCCCCUAGGGCGCGCCACCCUCCUUGGUCGGCCCCCUCAUCCACUCCUUUAUAUACGGGGGCAGGGGGCACCCCAUAGACACAAUAGUUGAUCAUUGAUCUCUUAGCCGUGUGCGGUGCCCCCCUCCACCAUAGUCCUCGAUAAUAUUGUAGCGGUGCUUAGGCGAAGCCCUGCGACGGUAAAACAUCAAGAUCGUCACCACGCCAUCGUCCUGACGGAACUCAUCCCCGACACUUUGCUGGAUCAGAGUCCGGGGAUCGUCAUCCACGUAGUUUCGGUGCUUGAUCGGUCGGGCCGUGAAGACGUACGACUACAUCAACCGCGUUGUGCUAACGCUUCCGCUUCCGGUCUACGAGGGUACGUAGACAACACUCUCCCCUCUCGUUGCUAUGCAUCACCAUGAUCUUGCGUGUGCGUAGGAUUUUUUUUGAAAUUACUACGUUCCCCAACAGGUAGAAUGUCAUUAUCAUGUGCACCAAAUUAUGAUCAUCUAUCUCAUUAUGCGUUGAUCAUCAAUUCAAAAGAACUAAGGGAAGUGGAAAGAACCAAGGCUUUUGGAGUGAUGAUGAUGAAAAAUAGUUAAUUGGCUUAGUCUUGGUACAUUUUGUUUGUCCUAUGAUUUUACGGUUUUCAAAACUUCUAUUUUCACAUGAAUAGUUGCAAUUUUUUUUAUUUUUUGAGCAGGAUUGCACUGACAUAAAUUAUUGUGUCUUCAUAAAUUAUCUCGCAAAAUUUUAGAACUAAGCUCUCCAAAUCUCUAUGUUUACUUAUUUCCCUCAUAUUUUCUUUUUAGUUUCCUCCAUACAGGGUUUGAGUUGCUUUUAAUUAUUUCGAUCGGAUUAAGUUUCUUUAGUGUACCGUGAUCUUGCAUGGUUCAUCUGCCCAUAAUUCACAUUCGUGUUCUCAUUUGAGAAUUCAAGCUGAAUCUUUAUGUAUGAGUUGGAUCUUGACUAGCCAUAUUUAGAUGACCAAAACAUCUCCCCCUGCGUCGCUCCCGCAUCGGGCGACUCGGGCAGGCAACGACCCUAGCCGCCACCGAGCCCCGAUCUACUCCCUCCUCUCCUCCCAUUGCCACCGGCUAAGCCCGGGGGCAGAUGGCGGUGGCGGGGGUCUCCUUCUCUCCCGCGGCUUGGGGUGGGGUUGGGCCCCUAACGUGUGGAGGCGCGACUGGUCGGGUCUUGCGGCACGGCGGCCGGCCUUGCCUCGUAGAGGCGGUGGGCGGCUCUACUGCCAGUCGGAUCUCGAAUUGGUGGCGGCAUGGAGGGUCUAGUGGAUGGAACGACUAUAUGUGUGGAUUGUCCUCCAGUCAGAUCUGAUCUGGCCUGUGCGGCCUGCUCCAUGCGCGGCGGCGGUGAUGGCGGUCCCGUGCACACAAGGCUGGAUGGAGGUUCCUCGAGCGGAUCCGGGUGGAAACCCUAAUCUUCGCUCAUUGCCAAAACCGACGAUGGCGGCGUUUUCUGCGUCGUCCCUUUCUUGAAGGCAUCUUAGUGGAGAAGCUCUAGACACCUAUCCGCCACCUCCGAGGGAAACCCUAGAUCGGUCGAUUGGAUGACUGUAAGUGCAUCUAAUGCCCCUUAGUGAUUUUGGUGUAUUGAAGACUUAUAGGUUAAGGGACUAAUGCGUGUGUGAGUGUACGCAUGUCUAUAAGUCUAUGAGGAGUUUGAUAUUUACAGGAAAAGUCGACCCCUAAAAAUGAGUAUCUUUGACUGAAGACUUUGGUAUUCUGAAGACUUUCUGAAGACUUUGAAAGUGGAGAAAUUGGUGUGACCUUGAAGACUUGGUAUUCUUUCGAGGAACAUGAAGCGAGAAGACUUUUGUUUUCGUAGUUUCAUUUUCUCUUUCUUGAGUCAUAGGAAACACCGUACUGUUAAAGGGGGUCGAGGAAAUACUAAGGAAAAAUUUCCAUGUGAUGCUCAACUCAAAAUCCUACACCUACCAAUCCCUUCGAGUGAAGCCAUUGGAAAUCUCUUACAGAUCAGUCAAUUUCUUCAGUGACAGAGACGAAGUUCUUCUGGUCUAUGAGGAAUUUGUCCUGACUGAGGAGUUAGGAUUUCGCCAGUUCGGAUUGCCUACACAGUGAGGAACAUGAUAGCCCUGAGGAUUUUUCUACUCAAAAUUCCGACCGUUGUUGUGCUAUGCGCGAGCUGUCCCAAAAUAUCUAUCCACCUAACGGUCAUUUCAUUGAAGGGCAUUUAUCUCUUAUCAUGUCGGGCUGCUCCCUAGGCUAUAAAUAGCCGCCCCCUACAACCACUAGCUGGUUGGCUACUCCGAGAGAAACUGACACUUAUCAUUUGAGAGCAACCCAUCCUCCGAGGACUUUGAGCGAAAAUCAUCAAGUGAGGAAAAACCAAAAACCCAAAACCCAAACACCUACAAACCCCAAGUGAUUGAGCAUCACUGAAGAGAUUGAUCCUGAGUGGAUCCGACGCUUGUUACCUUUGAAGACUGUGCUUCUUCCAGAUGGUUAGGCGUCAUGGUCUAGAGCAUCCAAGAGGAAUUGUGGAUCACCGAGUGACCAAGUUUGUGAAGGUUUGGAAGUCGCCUGAAGACUUACCACGAGUGAUUGGAUGAGGUCUGUGUGACCUUAGUUCAAGGAGAAUACAGUGAGGACUGGGUGUCUUGGACUAAGUGUCCUUGACUGGGUGUCCGGGACUGUGUGUCCUCGAGUUUAAAUACUCAGCCGCUCCAACCAGACGUACAACUGAGACAGCAGUUGGAACUGGUCUACCAAAUCAUUGUCUUCACCGAGCUUACUGGUUCUAUUUUCUCAACUCUUUCAUUUCCUCAUAACUGUGCCGUGUGUUUGUUCAUAUCUGUGUUUGAAGACUUUGACUGAAGACUUUCUCAAUUUCCUCAGUUCAAUUUCUUCAGUCUGUUUGUCUUCGUCCUGUGUUAUCCUGUGAUUACACUUCCUAUACUCUGUGCCUGUCUUCAUUUCAUCAUGAUGACUAUGCUUGUAUUCUGUUUAUUUACUUUUGAGUACUUAUUCCGCUGCUAGUAGUUCUUCGCUAAGGAAUUUCCUCACCGGCAAAUUCCUCAGUGAAGAAUUUCGUAAAAAUCGCCUAUUCACCCCCCUCUAGUCGAUAUAACGCACUUUCAAUUGGUAUCAGAGCAAGGUACUUCCUUGUUCUGUGUGAUUUUGGUUUAACCGCCUGGAGUUUUAGUUAUGUCGACCGCAAGUAUGAUCAAGGUCUCUGCUGGGUGUCCUACCUACGAUGGGACGGACUACCCCUACUGGAAGAAUAAGAUGCGAAUGCAUCUUGAAGCAAUUGAUAACGAUCUCUGGUAUGUUGUGGAAAAUGGUGUUCCCUCAGUCACACCUUCUCUGAAUGCUGCCGAUGUGAAGAGAUUCAAGCAACUCGACUCUCAAGCGAAGAAUAUCAUAUGUGGCCAUCUGAGCAAAGGACAGUAUGGCAGAGUGAGUGCUUUGGAAACAACGAAACUUAUCUGGGAUAGGUUGUCCAAAGUGAAUGAAGGAGUAUCAACUCAGCGUGACUCUCGAGUUGAUGUUCUUCGCAAUCUCUUCAACCGCUUCAAAAGACUCGACAAUGAAAAUGUUCAACAAACCUUCGAUCGCCUCACUGACAUCUUAAAUGAGCUUCAAGCACUUGGUGCCACUGACAUCACUGACCAUGAGGUGAUGAAGAAAUUGCUGAGAUCGCUUGAUUCCUCAUUUGACACUCUGGCAUUGAUGAUACAAGAAUGUGCUGAUUACAAGUCACUUGAUCCCGCUGAUAUUCUCGAGAGGCUAAAUACUCAUGAGUUCCAACUUGCUGAAAAGAGAGAUCUCUAUGGUUCAAGCUAUGGCAGAACCCGUGCACUGAAGGCCAAGGAAGUAUCUGAGUCCGAAGAUGAAGACUCUGGUAGCAGCCUUGGUGAUCCUGAAGAACCGAGUCAUGAUCUGGCUCUGCUCGUGAAGAAGUUCCAAAAGUUCUCAAGACGUGGUCGCCUUGGAAGAUCCUCAAGGAGCAAUGAUUCCUCAUCCAGUGACUACAAGAAGAGGCUUUGUCACAAAUGCAAGAAACCUGGACAUUUCAUUCAAGAUUGUCCUCAGUGGGAAAAGGAAUCAAAGAAGAAGAAAUACAAGGAUUACAGUUCUGAUGAUACGAAGAAAAAUAAGAAAUCCACAAAAUCCUCACCAUCAAAAUCCUCCAAGCCUUCAUAUCACAAGAAGAGCAUCUCCAAGAAGGCCAGGGCAUUCAUUGGCAAGGAAAUGGACUCUGAGGCUGAAUCUGAAGAAAAUGAGGAAGAGGAGUCAUCUGAGGAGUCCGAAUCCGGAGUGGCGAGCCUUGCUCUCGCUACUGCAUUCGUCAGCAAGUCUAUCUUUAACACUGAAGAAAAUGACCUCACCAACAAGGCUGAUGAAGGCGAUGAUGACUACGCUCCCACCUAUUGCUUCAUGGCAAAUGGUGCCAAGGUACUCAAAUAUACCUCCUCUGAAUCAAGUGAGAAUGAAUCUGAUGAAAAUCUUAAGCUCAGCUAUUCUAAACUUGCUAAGAUUGCUAUAAAACAACAAAGGGCUUUAGAAAAGGUUCAAAACAUGCUAAAUAAAAGUGAUGAUAUGUUGGGUGAAGAAAUGGAUCGCACUGAAACUUUGAUUGAAAGUCUUCAGAGACUUUAGUCCAAGCUUGACAAACUUCAAAGUCAUCAUAACACUCUCUUAUCGGAUCAUGAGAAGCUUUCUUAUGAAUUUCUUCAAAGAAAGCAAGACCUUGAGAAGCUAAAAUUGAGUUAUGAAGAUCUUCAGAAGGAGCGCGAUUCAUUACUUGCUCAACAAAUCAGCGCUUCUCAGGAAGAAUUUGUUCCACCAUGCUUGAAGUGCAUUGAACGUGAAUCUGCUAAUUCUUCACCUGAAUGUUCAAAUGCUGCUAAUGUUUCAAAUUCUUCAUAUGCCUCUACUAUCACUAAUUCCUCAUCUGAGGACAUUGCUAGUAUCACUGACAAUGCAGGGCUGAAGGAAUUGUACACGACAGGCAUGUACAAAAGCCUCAAAGGGCAUCAGGCUCUUUGUGAUGUGCUUAAAAAGCAGAUCCUCAACAGAAACCCUAGGAAAGAGGGUAUCGCCUUUGAGAGGAAACUCAAUGCUGAUGGUACAUAUUGGAAGCCUGAGCAGUACCCCAAAACUACACGGGUUGCUGCAAAGGGACCUCCAGUUGAUCCAUCUAACUUAUCUGGAUUUGCAUGUGAAUCUCCUCAUUUUGAUGAUGAGUCAAUUGACUCCAACUAUAAGCUAUUCAAAAAACAGAAUGGUGAAGUAUUUGCUAGAUAUGUUGGCACUAACUGCAGGAACGGCUCCCCUAUGCAGAAAAUCUGGGUUCCCAAAAGAUGUCUUGAAAAUCUUCAGGUGAAUGUCAUCAUGACACCACCUGUGAAGAAUAGGAACCCCAGAUCAAAUUCCUCAUAUGGACCAAAUUCCUCAUAUGGAUCAAAGUCCUCAUAUGAACAUCAUCGUGCUAACCCGUCUGUUUCGCAGGGAAGAUUUAAGGAUUAUGGAUAUAUGCAUUAUUCUUCAAAUCGUUAUGUUCAUAAGUCCUCGAAGAAUUUCUCUGCAUACUCUUAUGCUUACUCUAACCCCUCUUAUGUGAAACGAAAUGGACUGGCUUCUAUGCCAUCCUUCUCGUAUGGAGCUCGCAGAAUGAUGAACUCUUUGCCACCCCUUUAGAUGUGGGUGGUGAAGAAAAAGAACUAAUCUCUUCUGCAGGGUCAGGUCUCCAAACGCACAUAAUCGUCUGAAGAAUUUGCUGGAGACCUUAGCAUGCCUGAAAGGACGCAUGCUAACCAUGAAGAAAUGAACUUUCAUUUCUCACGUCCUCAUAUUGCGUUAUUAGUUCUUUUACUUGAUGAAAUUGAUCUGAUGAAUUGAUGUCAUAUUCUUCACUGAUGAAGUAUAUGAGUUUGUAAGUUGCACUAAUUCAUCUGCAGGAUGAUCAACCCAAAGCCACUGAGUGGGUCCUCGAUAGUGGAUGCACAAACCACAUGACUGGUGACAAGAAUCUAUUGAUGGAUGCUCCAUUAUCUCCGUCGCAUCUGAAGCAUAUCAUCUUUGCUGACAAAGGCAAAAGUCAGGUAUUGGGUCUAGGUAAGGUUGCGAUUACAAAGGAUCGACACAUGGACAAAGUCAUGCUUGUUGAGUCCUUAUGAUACAACCUUAUGUCUGUCUCAAUGCUUUGUGAUCUUGAUAUGGUUGUUGUCUUUGGCAAGUACCGUUGUGUUGUGGUUAUGGAAGCUGACAAUUCCAAAGUCUUCGAAGGCUUUAGGAGAGGAGACCUAUAUAUUGUUGAUUUCUCUACAGGACCACAACCAGCCGUGUGCUUACUUGCAAAAGCUUCAGAAGGCUGGCUCUGGCAUUGACGACUUGGUCAUGCAGGCAUGAGGAAUUUGCACACGCUUGCAAAGAAGAAGCAUGUCAUUGGCAUCGAGAAUGUCAAAUUCCUCAAGGAUCACCUAUGCGGAGCCUGUGAAGCUGGGAAGAUGACCAAGGCCAAGCAUCCAGCGAAGACUAUCAUGACCACCACUCGCCCAUUUGAAUUGCUUCACACAGAUCUCUUUGGUCCUAAUCAUUAUUCUGCUAUUUCAAAUGAAGCAUCUCAAUAUGGCUUUGUUAUUCUUGAUGAUUAUUCUCGCUACACAUGGGUACACCUUGUUACUUACAAACAUGAAGUGCAGGAAGUCUUCAAACAAUUUUUCUCGAGGGCUUCAACCAACUUUGGUGUGAAGAUCAAGCACAUUAGAAGUGACAAUGGCACUGAGUUCAAGAAUUCUGGUCUCGAUGAUUAUCUUGAUGAACUUGGUAUUACUCAUGAGUUAUCUGCUCCUUACACUCCUCAGCAGAAUGGCGUCGUGGAGCGCAAGAACAGGACUCUUACUGAGAUGGCUCGCACUAUGCUUGAUGAAUACAAAACGCCUCAUCAUUUCUGGACUGAGGCAAUUGAUACUGCGUGCCACAUCAUCAACAGAGUAUAUCUUCACAAAUUCUUCAAAAAGAUUACCUAUGAACUCCUCACUGAUAAGAAACCCAAUGUAAGUUAUUUCAAAGUCUUCGGUGCUAAAUGUUGGAUUAGAGAUCCUCAUCACAACUCAAAAUUUGCACCGAAAGCACAUGAAGGUUUUAUGCUUGGUUACGGAAAGGACUCGCACACCUACAGAGUCUUCAACGACGUUCUUCACAAAGUUGUUGAAACUGUAGAUGUGCGGUUCGAUGAAACUAACGGCUCGCAAAGAGAGCACCUACCUACUGUGAUAGAUGAACCAGCACCUGAGGAAACUAUCAAGUUCAAGGCUACUGAGGAUGUCAUUCCUACUGAAGAAUCUGCUGAAGAAUUCAUUCCAGAACAUGAAGAACAUCGAGCUAAUGCACCUGAAGAAAAUGCUGAAGAAAAUGGUGUUGAAGAAAACGCUGAUCAAAUUCUUCAACGACAACCAGCUCAUCCUCGCAUUUCAAAAGAAGUGCAAGUUGAACAAUAUCAUCGGCACAAAGUGGAUCUACCGCAACAAGCAAGAUGAAAAUGGCCUUGUGGUGAGGAAUAAGGCAUGGCUUGUAGCUCAAGGCUACACACAGGUUGAAGGAAUUGAUUUCGAUGAAACGUUUGCACCUAUUGCUAGACUUGAGGCUAUUCGCAUAUUACUUGCUUAUGCUAACCAUCAUGAUAUCACUUUGUAUCAAUGGAUGUGAAAAGUGCAUUCCUCAAUGGUAAGCUUGAGAAAGAAGUAUAUGUUGCUCAACCCCCAGGUUUUGAAGAUCCAAAGAAUCCUGACAAAGUCUUCAGACUCAACAAGGCCCUCUAUGGCCUCAAGCAGGCCCCACGGGCUUGGUAUGAUACCUUGAAGGAACUCUUCAUGAAGAAAGGCUUCAAACCCGGUUCACUCGACCCUACUCUUUUCACUAAAUCUUAUGAUGGCGAAUUAUUUGUGUGCCAAGUAUAUGUUGAUGAUAUUAUCUUUGGCUGUACUGACCAACGUUAUAGUGAUGAAUUUGCCUAUAUGAUGAGUGAAGAAUAUCAAAUGUCUAGGAUGGGAGAGUUGGAAUUCUUCUUAGGUCUUCAAAUUCGUCAACAACACAACGGCAUAUUCAUCUCUCAGGAGAAAUACCUCAAGGAUGUACUGAGGAAAUUCGGCAUGCAAGAUUGCAAAGGCGUCAAAAUUCCUAUGCCCACAAAUGGCCAUCUGUGCACUGAUGAAAAUGGUAUUGACUUCGAUCAUAAGGUAUACCGCUCCAUGAUAGGUUCCUUAUUGUACUUAUGUGCAUCUAGGCCAGAUAUAAUGCUUAGUGUUUGCAUGUGUGCCCGAUUUCAAGCUGCACCGAAGGGAUCACACCAUAAGGUUGUGAAGCAUAUUCUUCGAUAUCUAGCUCACACACCAACACUUGGAUUAUGGUACCCCAAGGGCUCGGCUUUUGAUCUUGUUGGAUAUUCUGACUCUGACUAUGCUGGUGAUCGUGUGGAUCGCAAGUCAACAUCUGGUACAUGUCAUUUCCUCGGACGAUCUUUGGUCUGUUGGUCCUCGAAGAAACAGAACUGCGUAUCACUAUCUACUGCUGAAGCUAAGUACAUUGCCGCUGGUUCUUGCUGUGCCCAAUUGCUAUGGAUGAAGCAAACUCUCAAGGACUACGACGUCAACAUGAAGAAUGUGCCUCUCUUCUGUAAUAAUGAGAGUGCCAUCAAGAUUGCUCACAACUCAGUUCAGCACUCGAAGACAAAGCACAUUUAGAUUCGUCAUUAUUUUCUUCGUGAUCAUGUGUUUAAGGGCGACAUUUCUAUUGAGCAUGUGAAGACUGAAAAACAGCUAGCCGAUAUCUUCACAAAGCCCUUGGAUGAGAAGAGAUUUAGCAAAUGCGGCGUGAGCUAAAUAUCCUAGAAUCUUCGAAUGUUCUGUGAAAAGGACACUCAUCCUAACACUUAUGCAAAAUUGAUGACUUAGAUGUGCAACACAUGAAGAAACAUUUUUCUUCAAUCAAUGAAGAAUAACACUCUUAGUGUGAAGAAAUUAACGAAAAAUUUGAUUCUCAGAACCCUAUGAUAAUUGUACGCGGUGUCUGAAAUCAUCAUUCUUAUACGAUGGGUCACGCCGCCACCAAAAGUUUCCGUAGUUUUUCUUCAUUGGCUAUAUAUAUAUAUAUAUAUAUAUAUAUAUAUAUAUAUAUAUAUAUAUAUAUAUAUAUAUAUAUAUGAGUUUAUGUCCUCUACAGCAUUCACUUAUUGCUAUUUCUUCAAGUUGGUUUUCUGCUAAGUGAAUGUGAUCGGACCCUUCCCCUCUAUGCUAUACUCAACCCAAUCUGUUCACAAAUUCUUCAUGUGCGUUCUAUUCGAAACUCGUUCAAAAUCUUCACUGUGUCCUUGUCAGCUGAAGAAAUUGCGAACGGAACUUUAAAACCUAUCUUAUCGAAAUUUUCGGUCUUGCCGCUCAAACCGUUCUGCAUCCAUGAUACACUUAUCCACUCACCCACGAUCUAACACGAUCUCCACCUCUCACUACGUGGGUGACACAUGUCAUGCAAAUGAGAAGGGUCAGGGGCACGUUCGUCCAAUUUCUUCGGGCGAGCAGUUUUCACCGUGGCUAUAAAUACCCCUCCUUCACUUCUUUUACUCCGCUCGACCUCUCUCUCCAGCUCGAGCUUCUCAAACCCUAGCGCUGUCGCUAUUUCAUCGCCGCCGGUGAGGAAGAGCUUCACUGCCUCGACCUCGUCGCCGACGUACUCGUGCCGACCGCAGACAUCUUCACUCCGCCGCCGCCGUAGCCGUCUUCCUCCGUCAAGUUAGGGCGUGGAAGAUCUGCACAGACGAACUUCACAUCUUCUCACUCCAGUUCGUCAUGUUCUUCGUCUAGGGUAAUUAAAAGUUACUUUUACUGCCCUUGUUAAUUCGAAUGAUCAUCUACAAAAUCUUCAAAAGUGUUUUUCUUCAUAUCUUCACACACUGAACACCUCACAAAGUCAUCUGUUCUUGAUUCGUUUCUCUAAGCAUCAUUUUUUUUCAAGAUUUCUCAAUUGUGUGGAUCAUCGAUCUAUACAACUCUGGAACCUAAGACAAAGAACGCUUAGUGAAAAUCUUCAAGACUCAUCCGGUCAAAUUCCUCAAACUUGUUCUUUUUGAAAAAGCUUCUGAGAAUGCAUAUGACCUCUCCAAAUUCCUCGCAACUAUACUUUGUUCACAGGUACACAUGUCGGCUGCUGAAUCACUAGGUUCUCAUCAACUUAACUCAUUUGCAGCGUUCCUCGAAGAAAAGUUGCAUACUUCUUCAGAGAAUUCGAUUGUUCAAAUUCCUCAACUGAAGAAAAUGGCUGAUGGUAAAAGGCCACAGAAGGGAGGAAAGAGGCCUGAGGUAAAUACAGCGUUUGAGAUCCCUGAUGACAUAUAUGCUGGGUACUGCACACCUACUGAGGAAACCAAGAAUGAGCGCAAAGUGCGCAUUCAGAAGAUAGAGAGGAGAUGGGCAAGAGAAUGGAGGGAGUACAGAUAUGUCACUCCUAAGUAUAUGAAGAAAUUCGCACUCAAUCCUCCAUGCCCAAGAGCACCACUGGCACCUGGCCAAAUUGCUGAUCCCACCAGCCUCAAGCGAGGUGAGGACUAUUCUGAUGAAUGGGCCAAGCGCCAAGGAAAGUUGGCUAAGCAAGCCAAAGAAGCAGUGAGGAAAUUCAAUAAAGACUCUGCCGCUGCUGCUGCCUCUGCUGAGGCCUUUGCUGUCAAGCCAAAGAAGGCUAUGUCAAAGAAGCCUGCGCGUAAGCCAAGUGCUUCAUCGGCAAUGCCCUCACGGCCAGAAUCAUCAAAGCCCUCACGGCCAAUUCCUCAUGCUGCUCCUGUUCCUCCAAAGUCCUCAGCUCCUCCGUCAAAGCCUUCAGCUGUUUCGACCAAAUCCUCAGCACCUGUGCAUCUCGCUUCAUGCCAAAGGACUGCCGGCAUCUCCAUUGCCUCAGGUGUCUCAGGUAGUUCCUCAGCUGCACCAAGUUCCUCAGCUGGCCCGUCACUACUGAAGACAAAGGCCACUGCCAGACAAGGUCCACUCCCAAGUCCUCAAAAGAAGCAGGUCGUUUUCCAAGUGCCGUUUGAUGAAGACGAAGCUGAUGAUGAUGAACUUGCAGAAAUCAUCAGAGACAAGCAAGUCAGGGUCGUUAGAGCCAAAGGAUCAGAGGUGCCACUGCUUUUGGAUCCCAAACUGAUCCUCGACUACAUUGAUGAUUGGCACAAGGACCCCAACACUCCCUUGCGUGACUUCAAGCUGACUCCUGGACAGAGUCACAUGCUGACCCACUUCAUUCAAGAAGAAAAAUGGAAAUUUGAGAAGGCCAGGCAGAUCAAGAAAGCGCAGUACAAGAAAGAGCGCUAUCUGAAGAAAAACGUUGUCUCUAUGACAACUGAAGAACUUGUCACUACUCAGACUGAGAUUAAGAAACUCAGUGAUGACUUUGACGCAUAUCGCGCUGAUUAGCUUGGAGCCAAGGUUCGUUUUGUGAAACUUGCGGAUAACUUCACAUCAAAUGUUGCAGCCCCAACGCAACAGGAAAUUCCUCAGGCUGAAGCAUCUGCUCAGCCUACUGAAGAAAAUGCCAGCACCGCCGAUGACAAUCAGGCUGCUGAAGAUAAUGUGAGUUCCAGAGCUGAUGACUGCAUUCCAGCCGCUGAAGAAAUUGCUAGGGCACCCACUAGUGGUGUGCCUGAAGAAACUGAAGAACUCAGGGCAACUGCAUCAGUUGUGUCUGAAGAAAAUCAACCAGAUUCCUCAGCUGCUCCUGCACCAACUUCAACUCCAACCCUUCUAUCUGCAUCAGAUGUGAAGAAGACCAAAGCUGCAGAGCGUGCUGCAGUGAAGAAAAGGAAAACAUCAGCUGCUUCAGAUUCUUCAGCUCCGAAGAAAAUGAAGCCUAUGACAAGCUCAUUUGCAAAACCGAUUGAUGUUGUUCCCAUCUCAACCAGGCCAUCAAAGGACCUUGUUCCUUUUGAUGAAGAAUAUGUGAUCCCCAGCGGAUCUGAUGAAGAAACUCGUUCUGCUGCUUCGUCUGAACCAUUGGAUGAAGAAAUUGAAGUGGAUACGAUCCCUUCAACACCUAUCAUCUCCUCGCAUAUGCCUCAGUUCACAGCUGAAGAGGAUGGCGUUGAAGAAAUGGAAAAUGAAGAUGUGGACAUUGGCUGCUCCACACCCAUAAUCAGUGAUGAAUUCCGGGAAAGUCAGCAUCCAAACUCUCCAAUGUUCACCCCUCUACAGCAAAUUCCUCAGUCCCCCACACAAACUGUUCACCUGGGCUCUGAAGAAACUCAUCCCACUGCAUCUGUCCAUGAGGAAAUUCCAGCCACUAGCACUGAUGAAACUGCUGCUGCUGAACAACCAACUACGCAGACUGCCAGUGAGCAGGAACCAGAAAUUCCUCAGCAUGAAGAACCUGUGAUUAAGAUUCCUGAGGUCAUGAUGCAACUCACUGACACUCCUCUGCCGAAGCCAAAGAAUCCAUUCUCAUGCAAGCAAAAGUUCAAGGCUGAUGAUUUCUUCGGCGAGCACGUAUUCUUCGAAGAUUACAACCCAUAUGACUCUGCUCGCAUUAGGAAGAGGCGUUUCUGGACUGCCAGUCAAGCCAAUUUCUAUUCCUCAGUGAUGUUCAACAAGGAGAAGAUUUUCUACCAUGAGCAUAUUCCUCACGUGGAUAUGGAAUCUCUGACGUGCUUCGCACUAGUCCUCAGUGUUCUUCACGACGCUGGACUGCUCAACUUUUGCUCUGACAUCUGCGAUUGGAAUGAAAAAUUGAUUCUUCAAUUCUAUGCAACACUGCACAUCACCGGAGAUGCUGAAGAUGUGAAUUCAUGGAUGCUGUACUGGAUGUCUGAAAACGCUCACUACACUGCACCAGCCUCUGAAUUGCUUCGUGCUCUACCACUCAGUCCUCCCCUUGAAGAAGCUCGCUGCAUCUACAGUGAACCUGAGCUCACACAUCAUUACAUGCAGGUGCUGAUGAAACCUUUGAAGCCAGGUCACACAUCAAGAACCAAAUUCCUUGUGAAGGAAUUGCUGUACGUGCCCAGAACUGUCUAUCAUAUUCUUAUGAGGAUAAUCAGUCCUAUCAAAGGCCACGACUCAUCUGAUGAGGAAAUUGUUGGCAUCAUGAAGAAUCUGGUAUUCAACAUCGUUCAUGGCAUUCCUAUCAAUUAUCAUGAUUUCUUCAUGAGGACUAUGGCCAAUGUUGCACUGUCUCCGUUUGAGAUGAAGCCUUAUGCACCUUGGAUUAUGAGAUUCCUCAGGACAAGGUCUUCACUCAACUACAAAGCUGAUUUCCAGAAUCACCUCAGCUACUUGCCCCCAAUUGAAAUCCUCAAGCAGACAUAUUCCUCAGUUGAUGGAAAGGGCAAGGCACCAGCUGUAAUAGAUGAAGGCAUUCAUCCAUUGGAUGGUCAGUUUCGCGAAGCUGCAUCUUAUUCCACCAAUGAUGACUCUGCCACACAUGACUCUGCCAAUGCACCUAAGUCCACUCCUCAAGCCACUGCUCCGCGCGUGAUGGCUGACCGUGAACUUCUGCUUAGUCUUGACCAGAAGGUGGAUCGAAAUCACAAAUGUGUUAAGCGUCAGUUUGGUUCACUUCUUCACAACAUGACUGCCACACACAAUGCAGUGAAGAAAAACCACUACUACCUCCAUCAAGUCUUCGGUCGCACCUGGGCAAUCCUGUCACAUCUAUAUGAUGAAGAAGAUCUGAAGAACAUGGGUCUCAAAGAAGAUUUUGACUGGUUUGCACCUCCACCGAAGAAAUUCAAGAAGGUCCAAGUUCCUUCUCUGGUGGCCAGCUCAUUUUCUUCAUCGCGCGACACUGAUGAACAUGAAGAUUUGGACGACAUUGCGGCAGGCCCUACAUCAACAAACGACCCUAACAACGCUGGCGCUCCUUCAUCAACAUGAUUAUCUUCAGGGGCGUUAGUCCUCAUUUUUGAUCCUUUUGGUCAGUCGAUGACAAAGGGGGAGAAAUAUGAGUUAGUCUUCAAGCGGGUCUACUAUAUGGGCAUUUUUUGCUAAGUUACAACUCUCGUUCUUCUGAAACUUUAUUGGAUCGAGUUGUAAUCUUAAACCCGAUGGUGCUCUGAUACUUUUGAUGCACUGUGCUCUGAUACUCUUGAUGCACUAUUCUGCAUGCUUAUUCCUUGUUAAAUAUUAUUGCACGCAUGCUGAAUUUAUCAGGCACCAUAUUUCAUCAUGCAUUUCAAAUUCUUCAUAUUAUAUGUUAAAUGCGUGUAUGAAUUACAAGAUAUAGGGGGAGAUCUCCAUAAUUCAACUCUUCAAGUGUGCAUUGCUUCAAAAGCAAAUUCCUCACUAUGCACAUCUUCAGGGGGGGUUCUUCUAUAUCUUGCAAUCAAAUUCCUCAAUAUCAGUAUUUACACUUCAUAUGUUUAUCCCCAUUGAAAACUUAACCUAUAUUGUCAUCAAUCACCAAAAAGGGGGAGAUUGUAAGUGCAUCUAGUGCCCCUUAGUGAUUUUGGUGUAUUGAAGACUUAUAGGUUAAGGGACUAAUGCGUGUGUGAGUGUACACAGGUCUAUAAGUCUAUGAGGAGUUUGAUAUUUACAGGAAAAGUCGACCCCUAAAAAUGAGUAUCUUCGACUGAAGAAUUUGGUAUUCUGAAGACUUUCUGAAGACUUUGAAAGUGAAGAAAUUGGUGUGACCUUGAAGACUUGGUAUUCUUUCGAGGAACAUGAAGCGAGAAGACUUUUGUUUUCGUAGUUUCAUUUUCUCUUUCUUGAGUCAUAGAAAACACCGUACUGUUAAAGGGGGUCGAGGAAAUACUAAGGAAAAAUUUCCAUGUGAUGCUCAACUCAAAAUCCUACACCUACCAAUCCCUUCGAGUGAAGCCAUUGGAAAUCUCUUACAGAUCAGUCAAUUUCUUCAGUGAUAGAGACGAAGUUCUUCUGGUCUCUGAGGAAUUUGUCCUGACUGAGGAGUUAGGAUUUCGCCAGUGUGGAUUGCCUACACAGUGAGGAACAUGAUAGCCCUGAGGAUUUUUCUACUCAAAAUUCCAACCAUUGCUGUGCUAUGCGCCAACUGUCCCAAAAUAUUUAUCCACCUAACGGUCAUUUUAUUGAAGGGCAUUUAUGUCUUAUCAUGUCGGGCUGCUCCCUAGGCUAUAAAUAGCCGCCCCCUACAACCACUGGCUGGUUGGCUGCUCCGAGAGAAACUGACACUUAUCAUUUGAGAGCAACCCAUCCUCCGAGGACUUUGAGCGAAAAUCAUCAAGUGAGGAAAAACCAAAAACCCAAAACCCAAACACCUACAAACCCCAAGUGAUUGAGCAUCACUAAAGAGAUUGAUCCUGAGUGGAUCCGACGCUUGUUACCUUUGAAGACUGUGCUUCUUCCAGACGGUUAGGCGUCAUGGUCUAGAGCAUCCAAGAGGAAUUGUGGAUCAGCGAGUGACCAAGUUUGUGAAGGUUUGGAAGUCGCCUGAAGACUUACCACGAGUGAUUGGACGAGGUCUGUGUGACCUUAGUUCAAGGAGAAUAUGGUGAGGACUGGGUGUCUUGGACUAAGUGUCCUUGAUUGGGUGUCCAGGACUGUGUGUCCUCGAGUUUAAAUACUCAGCCGCUUCAACCAGACGUAUAACUGAGACAGCAGUUGGAACUGGUCUACCAAAUCAUUGUCUUCACCGAGCUUACUGGUUCUAUUUCCCCAACUCUUUCAUUUCCUCAUAACUGUGUUGUGUGUUUGUUCAUAUCUUUGUUUGAAGACUUUGACUGAAGACUUUCUUAAUUUCCUCAGUUCAAUUUCUUCAGUCUGUUUGUCUUCGUCCUGUGUUAUCCUGUGAUUACGCUUCCUGUACUCUGUGCAUGUCUUCAUUUCAUCAUGAUGACUAUGCUUGUAUUCUGUUAUGUUUACUUUUGAGUACUUAUUCCGCUGCUAGUAGUUCUUCGCUAAGGAAUUUCCUCGCCGACAAAUUCCUCGGUGAAAAAUUUCGUAAAAAUCGCCUAUUCACCCCCCCUCUAUUCGAUAUAACGCACUUUCAAUGACGUCAAUGCUCUUGUGCCGUAUCCCUCUUGGGCACGUCAAUCUUGGAGGUAUGCAUAGGCUCGAGGGACCAGUGGACGGCAUCUGCGGUGGAGCGGCGUUUGACACAUCGACGACGUGGAGUCUCGGUGGCGUGGCGUGGCGCGGCAGGGCCUGGGCGACGGAUGUGUGAUGAUGGACGCGUGUAGGGAGGAGGUUUUGUCUGGCGCCGUGUUGGCGUCAACAGCAGGCCUGGCAAGGUCGAUACGUUAGUAUCACCUCUGAAGAUGGAUCGAUGGAAGACGGCGGCGACGACCUAUGAGUGCGUCGGACCGGUUUGUGCCCGACCUGGUAUGUGGCUUGGUUGGGGCCUCCAGCUUUAGAUGUUAGGCUUAGGUGAGAUGUCUAGGUAUCCGGCUCACUACUUUCUGCACCUCUUCAUCAAUGGAUAGGAGUAGCGACGAAUGUUGCCAAGAUGACGGUUUCAGACAUAUUGAUGUAUUACUUUGUAGGUUCUCUGUGAAUAGUUAAUAAAGUGGUUGCCUGCAUCUCCCAGGUGUAGACUGGGAGUCAUCCUCCUUUUCUAAAGAAAGGCAUACUUAGAUGUUUUGUGGUUAUUUUCUUAGGCAUAGUACAAGUCGUGCCAUCGAUACUGGCUGCACAAAUCCAUCAAGCUAUAUUAGCUGCAAACUCACUGUCUUUCUAAGUGAAUUGGUUGAAAUGCCUAAUCUCAUGGUCUUCUAAAACUUUUUGCUAUAUAGAAAAAUGCUGCAGGUGCACAUGAUGAGCAGUCUUGGUGAGAUUAGUGGCUGAAGCUGGCUGGCAAAUAUCUGAAGGUAUGUGCUCCUUUUGCCAUAUUUUACAUAUUUGUGUAAUUGACCAGAUUUAGUUAGACUGAACUGGUAGCGUAGCUGCAUAAGAGAUACUCCCUUACUCCCUCUGUGUCGAAAUGUAAGAUGUUUUAUAGUGUUAAAAAUGUCUUACAUUUUAAGAUGAAGGGAGUAUAAAAGAAAAGAUGCCAGGGUAUAAGUUGUAUUAUUUGAGGACCCAGUGGCCCUGUGAAGAUGAAGUAAUUGUUGUGUUUGCUCUUCAGGAAUCUCAAUAGACUUUUUUUGCGAGAAGGAAUCCAAUAGACUUCCUGUGUAGUGAAAAUGACCAAUAUGCGCAUGAAAAAAGAUGGAUCACCCUGAGGUCAGCUUGCCAAUGUUGUAAUGUUGUUCGUCCUUAACCAUCUGACAUUGCAAUGAUAAUAAUAGGUGCUCUUUUUCCAUCAGAAAAAAUGAUAUGGUUGUUGUAUUAUCUAUGAUUUGCCACUUCACUACAGUGGUCCAUAGAGCCGAACAAGAUUUAAGUGUUUUUUUAUGAUGAAGAUUUAAUUGUUCUGAAGAUUGAUCCCUUGUGAUAUUGAUUUCUUUUAUUUGUCUACCAUGUUUGCAAUGUAAAUCUUAUGGAAGGUGACACUGUUUGAUCAAGAGAUGAACACCAUUCAAUUGGCAACUUUGGAUUGUUCCCAUUAUUGGAGUUUGAUCUUUGAAAUUAGUUUUUUUGCAUUUUGACACAGAGCUAUGUUGUUUCACCACAUGCAACAAUUUAAAUUUUGGUGUUCGAAAUAUGUUUGACUAGAUAUAUACGGAGUAUUAGUUAGUACGUGCAUUGCACGUGCGCGUUUACUAGUUUAGAACUAAAAUAUACCUAGAUACAUCCAUACCUGCGACAAGUAAUUCAAAACGAAGGAAGUAUAUAUUAAACUAAUUAAGCAUCGUGGGAAGGGCGGCCAACCAGCUAUGCCACAUGGCGCAAACUGGUUGACCGCGGUGGAAAAGCUUUUGAAAAAAAAGAUGAAGGUGACGAUUUUUUUGAAAUGUUUUUUCUUUUUAGUUGGAGGUGAGGACCUCAUGUAUUUUUUAAAUAAAGGGCUAUGCAAAGUGGUGCUCGCUGGUAGGCUGCGGUAGUAUUUUUUUCAUUUUUUCUUUUUAGAUGGAGGUGGGGAUUUUUUUCUAAGAUGUUUUUUAGAUGGUAACGAGGACCCCAUGUAUUUUUUAAAUGAAAAUAUACGCACAAUUUUCUCUUAAGCGGCGUCAUAGGGUGGCGCCCUAACCACUAGUACCAAUGCAAAGAUCCGACACCACCUGGCGACACGGAUGCAGGAAUCCCCAUGGCCAUGGGUUGCUGGCUCCUAGUGCCGGGGACCUAUCGACCCGAUAUCAAGAGCAUCUACAACUGGACGCCUCAAACCUCUCUCAUACGUUGGGUGGACGGCCCGGUCAUUGACUGGUAAAAAAACAAGAUCUAGAUGAAUGUCUCAAACCGGCCUCAAACACCCUGGCUGACCGGUAGCCCUCAUAUCCAAACCAAAUGUGGGGUACAUAUUGGGAGGCCUGGGCGCGUCCAUCACGCCAGACCUAGUUCACGCUGGCACAUCCGAUCCCACAUAUAUUCGUCCUCAUCCCCUCCUCGGACCAAACUCUAGCCACUUCACUCCACUCCCCUCCACUCAGCCAGCCAAGCUCCCGUCCGACGAUCUAUGACCUUUUUCGGCAUGACGGGCAGCAUAUCCGAGUCCUACACCUUCAAAUCCGUCGACCCUGAGCUCAUCUCGCGCGACCCCGAGGAGGAGAUGGCCGUCCAGCUUACGCUUCGCCUGUCCCGGGAGGAGGCUGCUUGACGGCAAUGCUUGAACUCCUUCCGUCAGAAAUCCAUUGUGUCCACCCAAAUGUCGCAUAGCCGCCGCGCCAGCAAUUUACCCAGUGAUUAGUAAAAUGCUUGUGCGUUGAUACAUGCUACAAUCCAUAUAAAUGGAUCAAACAAUGAUCUUCUCCAAGGUCGAAGUUCAUUUCUCCCUCGUACGUCCGGACGUGUUUGGACAUCAACCGGGCAGCGAGCCGCUCCUCAAAAUCUAACCGUCUGGACAGUCCGGGCUCCCUCAAAUCUAGCCCAUAUAUGUGGCAAAAAUGUAAUUGUUCGGACUAUCCGUCAUAUUAUCUCCAACAUCCGGUCCCAACAUAAAAACCCUAUCCUAUGAUGCACCCUUCCCUUUAUCCUGUCAGACCCUCUCAUUCCUGCUCGAUUUCUCACUAUAGUGGGACAUUUCUUGCUGGAUCUCUCUUCUUUAAAACUAGAUGAAGUCACCUCACAUUCGCCAUGGCACCCUCCCUCCUUCACACCUUAAUUCCCCACAGACCGCCAAGGAGGAGUCCCCUCCAACCACCCCACUCAAUACGCCAUGUUCCCCUCCCCCAUGUUCACGUCGAUCCGCCACCACCAUCAAGGGGGACAAGGCGUGCUCCGGCGGUGAGGCCCCUUGACCCAAUAAGGCAAAUCCUAUGCUCCCGAGCCGUUGCCAUGUUGUAACAUAUAGUUGAAUGUCUUGCAUUACCACGAAAUGUAAAUUAAACCCAUUAAGCUAUGCAUGAAGGGCGGCCAACCAGUUAUGCCACGUGGCGCAAGCUGGUUGCCCGCGGUGAGAAAUCUUUUGGAAUAUUUUUAGAUGAAGGUGUGGAUUAUUUUGUAAAUGUAUUUUCUUCUUUUUAGAUGGAGGUGAGGACCUCUAGUAUUUUAUAAAUUGAAGGGUUUUACAAAGUGGCACUUGCUGGUAGGCUACAGUGGGUUUUUUUUACUUUUUUAUAGGUGAAGGUGAGGAUUUUUUUUCUGAGAUAUUUUUUAGACGGAGGCGAGAACUCUAUGUAUUUUUUUAAAUGAAAACGUGCGUACAAUUUCCUCUCAAGCGGCGCCACAGGGUGGCGCCCCAACCAUAGUAUGAUGUAUAUUGUGGGGCAUGAGUGUCCUUUAUUAACUCUUGAAAGUUGAAAUAACGAACCAAUGCAUUUACCCUUCUAACCUAACCAAAAAGUUGUACAACUUGAUGAAAAAAAGUGAAGGGCUCCCUCAUGCAAUUUACUGCAAAGCCAUCUCUAAUGAAAAGCAAUUCGCCACAUUUUCUAAAUUAGGGAAAUUAUUCCGCUGAGACCUCUCAUUUCUCGCUCUUAUCACAAGACCCACUAACUCGUGUUCUAAAUGAGCCAGUGGUCGACGUUGCCAUGCCAGGCCAGCAGAAUUUUUUUAAUUUCAUAUGGCAUGAUUUUUUAGAUCGAAUCAUCAUUUUAGUUAACACCUUUUGUACUUCAACAAAUACUAAAUGCAAAACAAGCAAACUUAGGAGGCCGAUUCGAAUAAUUACCACUAGACAAGUAAUCUUGAACUCCUUUGGUGCUCUCUAAAUAACUAAGAAAAUCAGAGGAUAAUAUACUAAGAAUAACUUUAUAUUGCGGCAAAGAGAAGCAAAUAUUUAUAAUUGACCAAUAAAUUGUUACAUCGCCAGAUCAUCGUAUAUUUAGAGACAUCACAACUCCAGGUCAUAUGAAAUUGAGACGACCCACUAUGUGAUGUUGGCAUUGUUUAACCAGAAGAUACCUCCCCGAUCAUUAGUGUUGACAACUCAAUCAAGGGCAAUCCGCAUGCUUGUGCUCGACAUCUUCUGAUAGAAAAUCAGGAAAAUGCACUUGCAGUCCUUCAUGUAACAAAUAGCGAUAAUACAAUCCAACAAAAUCAUAGAAUGAUUUAUUUCAAUGGAGUUGAACAUUUGUAUUCUUAUAUAUAUGUGUGUGUCCUGCAAAAAGAAUUGUUUCAAGACCAACAACAGNNNNNNNNNNNNNNNNNNNNNNNNNNNNNNNNNNNNNNNNNNNNNNNNNNNNNNNNNNNNNNNNNNNNNNNNNNNNNNNNNNNNNNNNNNNNNNNNNNNNNNNNNNNNNNNNNNNNNNNNNNNNNNNNNNNNNNNNNNNNNNNNNNNNNNNNNNNNNNNNNNNNNNNNNNNNNNNNNNNNNNNNNNNNNNNNNNNNNNNNNNNNNNNNNNNNNNNNNNNNNNNNNNNNNNNNNNNNNNNNNNNNNNNNNNNNNNNNNNNNNNNNNNNNNNNNNNNNNNNNNNNNNUCAUUGGAGAGACUCACGUGAUGAGGCUUUUUAUACGUACGUACCUCGGUUGAGAUCUUUCUAGAGGGAGAGAAAAAAAGAAUAGAGAGAAAUCUAGAAACCGCCGCAUGCACGGGAAGACAAAAAAAAUGCAUGGCACCACAACAUUGAUAUGAUGCAUUGUUGACCGGGAACUGCUUCGUCAUAAAAAAUGCAAGAUGAAUCCAAGAUUCUACCCGGCCAUAUCCCAAGGUAAUGCACCUGUCAGCGCGUGAUUGCUUGAUUAAAGACGUGAAAAAAACUCAAAAAACAUCAAAAAAGAAACCUGGUUAGAAAUAGUGCGCCGGGUAUAACUUAUCUAUAUGUUUAUCUUAUCUAAAUAUCUAUGUGUAUAUAGAUAUGCUUUUAUAGUUUAUUUGAACUUUAUUCUUAUUUUUCUAAUUUUUAAAUUAUUUGACUUUCCUAAAUGAAUGUUGAUUUUUUUUUCAUUUUCCUUUUUUUGUUUUGAAAAUUUAUGGUAGCCAUGUUGCCACUGUAUUGAACAUUAGGGUCUAAACUUAGACUAUUUCAGUAGUCAAUUUUAAAAAUAUCGAAUAUCAAGUUCACAUCGGUUUGGUUUCUUGCUCAAAAAAUGUCACCGUGGUACAAAAUAUGUAAGAUGAUAGUGUCUGAGCAUAAAAUAAUAAGAUUAAAAUUUAUUAAGAAUAAACUAGGAAAAACUCAUAGAAUAUUUCCCAAGAUAAAAAGAGGUACAUUACAUAUGCAUAUCUAAAAAUUGUUAUGCAUGAAUUUGAUGCAGUUGCAAAUACAUAAUCUUAUUUCCAACCUUUUCUAGAAAGAUUUAUCCUCAUCUACAUACUCGCUCAAUGACGAAAUGAAAUUCAUAUUAGUUUAAUCUUUAGUCAAACUUUGUAAACUUCAAACAAGUUUACAGAAAAAUUAUCAACUUCUACAAUAUCAAAUGAGUACCAUUAGAUUCAUCAUGAAAUAUAGUUUUCUUAUGGUAUAUGUUUGAUGUUGUAAAUGUUUGCAUUCUUGUAUAAAUUUUUAAGUUUACUGAGUUUGAGUUUGGACAAAUCUUACUUUGACAUCGAUAAAAUAUUGGUCUAUAUCGUGGACAUAUCAGAUAAAAAAAAGGUCAUAGCUUUCGAUAUAUCAGCAGACGAGUGUGAAGAUAACUUCUACAUAAUGAUAUUUACUGAUAGUUUGGAGUGUGUUAUAUAUGUAUCAGUAAACUCCAGUGCCAACCUAUCGGCCGAUAUAACAGUUGUAUCAGAUCUAGAAGACUGGCAGUAGUUUAAAGCCGAGAAUGAACUCGCUUUUGUUAGCAAUAAUAGAUUAUAUACACAAGAUUUUUUUUCUUCUUUUUUUUUGGAGAAGAACACGGAAGCAUUUUUCGAUUAUAUACACACAAGCUGGGUUGCAACGAACAGCACGAACCGGGCUGGCUUGAGUAAUUCUUUUUGAAUCAGGAGUAAGGGCAGCGGGCCUGCUAAAGUUGAGGCUUGGGCUUUCUUUAAUGGGCCUCCGAAUGUGGGCACUACAGGAUGUUUAUGUUUUUCACUAGCAAAAAGGAUGUUUUUGUGUUUUUUUUCUAAAUAAAGAUGCGAGGGAGGGGCUACAGUGCAAUGCCGCAUGCAUGCAUGGUCAGUACUCAGUACUCGGAGGGGAGGGGAGAGAGCUAAAUUUGGCGCGGAAUGCAGGGAGGGAGGACCGGUUCUCUCCUCUCUCCCCCCCGUCCCCCCAUGCAUGAGAUCCGAACUCUGCGUUGGUCAUCUUCCGCUCCCCGUCUCUGCCUUGGUGUCUCUCCACCCAAUCCAAGGAAAAGCGAAGAUCGAGCACCCAAAUCCAUUUCCCAACCCUCGGGGACAGACAAGCUCGUUUGAUCCGUUUGCCAGGUAGAUCAGACAGAGAUCCCCAAAAGGAAGUAGGCACGCAGGCAGUUACGUCGUCGACCAAGUGAUCAUCGAUCCAAGAUGAACGAUGUGGACGUCGGGAAGCAGAUCCAGCAGAUGGUCCGGUUCAUCCAGCAGGAGGCCCAGGAGAAAGCCAGCGAGAUCUCCGUCGCCGCAGAGGAGGUCUGUACUCUAUCUAUCACCGUGUCGACCGAUCGAUCCUCUGCAUUAAUCUGUUCAUUCAACUUUAAAAGGUCGAGGAUGAAUCAAUCUGAAUAUCUGAUCCCUGGCUGGCUGCAGGAUUUCAACAUAGAGAAGCUGCAGCUGGUGGAGUCGGAGAAGAGGAAGAUCAGGCAGGAGUACGAGCGCAAGCAGAAGCAGGUGGACAUCCGCAGGAAGAUGUGAGUCGUCGACAUGCCUAUCUCGUCUCGUUCUCUCGUGAAGCCGCGCCGGCUGGCCUGGCCUGACUAGCAUGGUGCAUGCAUGCAGCGAGUACUCGAUGGAGCUGAACGCGGCGCGCAUCAAGGUGCUGCAGGCGCAGGAGGACGUCGUGGGCGAGAUGAAGGAGAACGCGUCCAAGACGCUCGUCCGCGUCACCAAGGACACCAACGUCUACCGGAAGAUCCUCAAGGGCCUCAUCGUGCAGGUGAGUCGGUUAACCGUCGCAUAUAGCAGCUGCUUCUGAAGAAGAUGCAGUGCAGAGGGACUGACCAGUGAAGGGAUGGACGGACGGACGGAGCAGAGCCUGCUCCGGCUGCGGGAGUCGUCGGUGGUGCUGCGGUGCAGGGAGGCGGACCGCGUCCACGUGGAGCCGGUGCUGGAGGCGGCCAAGAAGGAGUACGCCGAGAAGCUCAAGGUGAACCUCCCCAAGAUCAUCAUCGACGGCAAGGUCCACCUCCCGCCGCAGAGGGCCAACGACGCCGCCCACGGACCCGCCUGGUAUGUUGUUGUAUACUUGUAGGCAUUACAUCGCAUAGCUGCACUGUCUCCUCCAUUAGUGCUGAUCGAUCGCCAUUGAACCUUCAACUGAUUGUUGAGCUUGGAUAUGCACGGACAUACAUACAGCUCUGGGGGCGUGGUGCUGGCGUCGCAGGACGGCAAGAUCGUCUGCGACAACACGCUGGACACCAGGGUGGAUGUUUGCUUCAGGCAAAAGCUUCCUGAGGUACGUAUCUAAACCUUUCAGUGAUGCAUCCUUAAUCCUCAUCGUCAUGCAGCAUUUGAAAUGUUUCUCGUCUUCGCCUUGUGUUGCAGAUCAGGAAGAAACUCUACGGUCAGCAAGUGUCACAAUAAGUCUCUUAAUUUAGUGUGCGCUGCCAUUGUGUGUUUUCUUCUUCUUCUUGAAUAAAGCACCGCAACAGGGCGGUUCAUGAUGUGUUUGUUGUACUCUAAUGUUCCUCUAUCUAUAUAUCGUCGGCUCAUCGCCAACAAUACCUACCUGCAAUGAUAUAUUCUUGCAUUUGUAAGCUGUAACUGGGUAUAUUACCUCUGCAUCACCUAUCGCUUUAACUAGAUUUCAGUCAGCUGACUUUUAGUUUUGUGGUCAGUCUAUUUUCUGGCUGUUGGAUUGUGUUUAUAAGAUUUAUGUAGUUUUUCUUUUUUCUGUCUUUAACUAGAUUUCAGUAGCUGACUUUUAGUUUUGUGGUCAGUCAAUUUUCUGGCCGUUGGAUUGUGUUUUUAAGAUUUAUGUAGUUUUUCUUUUUUCUGUCACGUUUUGUUGGUCGUACUGGCCUGUUUGGAUUCGACUAACCCCUAUUUUAGGUCAGUCGAUUUUCUUCUUGGGCUGGAUUUUGGUGUGUGCAUGCUUUUUUCCAUGGGCUUGCUUUGUUUUCUGCACGUGUAUGCUUUUAUUUUUCUAUUUUUCAGUUUAGUUUUUUACAUGUAUUUCCAGAUGUUGAGUGUGUGUAAAUGUAUACAUGCAAGUACUAUAUACAAAUUACAUUAGAGUAUGGAAACUUCACUCUUAUAUAUUUAUUCAACAUAUUAUAAAAAGUGCAUUUUUGUGCUAAUUGUGUGAAAUUUUCAUUUUUUAUUUUUGUUAUUCUUUUGAGGGUAAUACCAAUGGUAAUUGUUUGUGCUAACUAAAUGCAUUUUUGUAUCAUUAUGUGUUUGUAUGCACGAAAGUACUAUACAAUAUGUGUGUACAUUAUAUUGGACUGCUAAAGUUAAUUUAUUAUAUUAUAAAAAGUGCAAUUUCACUGUAAAAUUUUCUAUAAGUUUUUCUUUAUUUUCUUUCUUCUUAAGAGUAAUAUCAAUGCCACUAAUUUAUUCUCUCUUAGAAAACUUUAUUUGCUCUAUUAUGUUUAGUAAGUAUACACGCAAGUUUGAUACACCAUGUGUGUAAAUUAUAGUAGAGAGCAAAAAUUGCACUGUAUAUACUUAUUUUUACAUAUUAAUAAAAGUGCAAAUUCAGGGCAUACUUGUGUGCAAGUUAUUUUUUAAUUUCCUUUCUUCUUAAAGAGUUUCAUUUCCACUAGAAAACUUCAUUAUUUUGUUUUUGCUUUAGUUUUUAUAUUGUCUUUCCUCUUAAAUGGUUUCAUUCUUACAUAGAAAACUUCAGUAUUUUGUUUUCAUUUUCAUUUUCAUUUUGUUUUCAUUUUCCUUUUUAACGGUAAUACCAAUAUCGUUCCACUAUUAUAUGGUCAUUCUUUUGUAUUAUAAAAAACACAAUUUUUGUAUAAAAUGUGUGCAAUUUUUUUAAUUAUUAUUAUCAUCAUGUUCUUCUUAAGAGAUAAUAGAAACGCCAAUAAUUCAUUCAUUCUUAGAUAACUUCAUUUUUUAUUUCCGUGCGUAUGUAUACACGCAAAUACUAUAUGAUAUGUGUGUAAAUGACCAUUUAUCUGUAAAUUGUCCGCAAAUUUUUCAUUAUUUAUCUUAGCUUUGUUUUCAUUUUCUUUCUUCUUAAAGGGUAAUACUAAUGCCACUAAUUCAUUCUUCCUUAGAAAACUUAUAGUUUGAUUAUGUUUUAGUUUUAUUUCAUUUUCUUUGUUCUUUAAGGAUAAUACAAUGGCACUAAUUCAUUCCUUCUUAAAAAAACUGUUUUCGUUGCGAAAUUCCACUAUUAUAUGCUUAUUCUUGCAUAUUAUAAAAAGUGCACUGUCUGUGUAUUUUUGUCAUUAUGUGUUUUUAUUGGUUUCAUUUUCCUUUUUCUUAAAGGGUAAUGCCAAUGCCACUAAUUGAUUCUCCCUUAGAAAACUUCAUGUUUUUUUAUUUUUAUUUAAUUUUAUUUCAUUUACUUCUUCUUUAGGAAUAGCAACAACUCCACUAAUUAAUUCCUUCUUAUGAAACUUCCUUUUUUGUGAAAAUUUCACUACUAUAAGCUUAUUUUUGCAUAUCAUAAAAUGCAAUAUCUUUGUAUGUUGUGUGCAAGUUUGUUCAUUUUUUUAAUGUGUUUCAUUUUGUUCUUCUUAAAGGGUAAUACCAAUUCGACUAGUUCAUUUUCCCUUAGAAAACUUUAUAUUUUGAUUUUAUUUUAGUUUUUAUUUCAUUUCUAGCCUUCUCAAAGGGUGAUACCUAUGCCACUAAUUCAUUCACCCUUAGAAAACUUAAAGGGUAAUACCAAUUUUCCUUUUUCUUAAAGGGUAAUACCAAUUCGACUAGUUCAUUUUCCCUUAGAAAACUAAUUUAUUCCUGUUUAGAAGGCCCUUUUGUUUUAGUUUUAUUUUAAUACAAUAGUAUAAGGACAGUCAAAACCUGGUGCGUGGCCUUCUAUCCAAGGCCCGACUUUGUUCUGAUCCAAAAGGAGUCAUUUAUCAUGAGAUUAAAGGUUUCAAUAGACUGAAAUCCAGUCGAAAGCACUAGUUGAGGAGUACUCGUUGCAAAGAUCACUCCAAUUCCUAGGUUGCGACAAGUGGCGCACAUGCAGCGCGUCACUUGUCGCACCCUGGGAGUUUUCCCUUUUUUGUAGAUCCGUUUAUUCGAAACAUUUUAUCUCUUAAACCGUGCGUCCAAAUCUCAAACGGUUUUCAUUGUUGGAUUCUCGUGUUGAGAUUUUUAAAACUAGAUCCCAUGUUGAUAGGUUUUGGCGAACUUUUUUAUGAAAAAAACCGUCUGAAAAACCCAGACGAAAAAACUGAACCGGGAGAACUGGUUUUUUUCCUUUCCAAAAGAGGCAUGCCCGUGCCUCUCACGAAAUCACAAACGUGCCUUUCGCGGAAGCAAAAUCGUGACUCUCGUGGAAGGAAAAAAAAAAGAGAGAACGCGUUUUUCCGUUUCCGAGGAGCCACGGCCGUGACUCUCGCGAAAGCACACUCGUGCCUCUCGCGAAAGCAAAACCGUAACUCUCGCGAAAGGGAAAAAACAGAAAACAUGUUUUUUUGUUUCUGAGAGGCACGGCCGUGACUCUCGCGAAAUCACAGCCGUGCCUCUCGCGGAAGCAAAACCGUGACUCUCGUGAAAGGAAAAAAUAAUAGAAAAUGCAUUUUUUGCGUUUUCAAGAGGCACAUCCGUGACUCUCGUGGAAGCAAAACCGUGACUCUCGCGAAAGGGGAAAAAACAGAAAACGCAUUUUUUUUCGUUUCCGAGAGGCAAUAGAAAAUGCGUUUUUUUCGUUUCCGAGAGGCACAGCCGUGACUCUCGCGAAAGGGGGAAAAACAGAAAAUGCAUUUUUUUUCGUUUUCGAGAGGCACGGCCGUGAGUCUCACGAAAGCAAAAUGUUACUCUCACGAAAGGGAAAAAAGAAAAGCGCUUUUUUGCGCAAUUUUUUUUUUUAGAAAAGCUAAGAAAGACCGGUGAAAAACCAAAACGUCGAAAAAAGAAAAAAAACCGUUUAAAUAGCCGAAAACACGUACGAAAAAAUAAAAAAAAUAAAAUCUGAAUGAAGCGCCUAGAGCGUGACACGUGGCAAAUGGCGCUGAUCGUUGCAAGGCUUCCAAAGGAACGCUUGUUAACUAGUGGCUCCCAAAUUCAUUGACGAUUUGCCUUUUUGUACUGUAGUAAAUAGCCCAUGAACGUGCAGCCUCUGUUGCUGAUGGAACUAGGCCUUGGCAGGUUUGGCUGAAUGCUUUGUCAGCUGCUGUCUGCAUGAGUUCGGGGCUUUGGGCAUCAUGUUUGGACGUUUGGUGACCCUGAAAGUCAGUUAACAAAAUGUUUUUGCUUGUUCCGUGGCGCUCCAACGCUCCGGAAUGGAGGAAGACGCGCUCCGCUCUCGCUCCCCCACCAGCCCCUCGCCAUGCGCCUCCCCGGUCGUGUCGACCACCACAUCGGCGCUACUCACUCCGAGCCCGUCGACCACCUCACCCCCUGCCUGACGCUGGCCUCUCCCCGGCGCCUCGAACUCCGCGGCUGCGCAGCUGCGAGUCCUUCAGCACCUGCGGUCGCCCCAGGCUCCCCAAGGCACGUCGGAUCUGGCUGGAUCUGGUUCCGGUCACCUUGAAGUGGGCGGUCCGAGCGAGGCCAGUGGGUAGUCGCCCUGCUUGGCAAGCGGGCAUUCAUGCCCUGCGCCGGCCUACUUUGGGCGCCUCCCCUCGCUGAUCUCGAUCCUGCCCUCCUCCACCAUUACUGCUCUGCACUGUGCAUCAUCCCCCCCUCCUCGCCUCGCAUCCACAGUCUACAUCCCGCCCACCUCCUCCUUCAGUGUGCUGCAGGGCACGCUUCCACCCUCCUCCUCCCGCUCGGAGGUGCGGGAUUCGCGCGAUGGGCGGGCCCCAGAGGCCUCUGCUUGGAAACUGGUCGCUUCGAGGAAACGGCGGCGUGCACUGCCCGUACCAUCUUCAGCCGGGCUAAGUAAUGGCCGCCCGCGCUUCCCAGCUGAGCUCCUGCUCGCCGAGCAACGGCGCACUGACUAUUUGAGGCGCUUUCGCGGCAAGUGUCUUCGCUGUCUCACCCCGGCCACCGUGCAAUUGAUUGCCGAGAUCCCGUGCGCUGUUCUUCCUGCUGACAUUGGGGGCACCGCUCCAGGUCCGCCCGCUCCCCCGCCCGCAAGCCCGCCCCUAGCCGGAGCUCCUGCGUUCCACCUCCGCCUCAACCUCCCACAGCGCCUCGCCGCAUCCCGCCACCACCACCACCUGCGUCUCGCCACCCCACCGCACCCAGCCACACCCCACCGCCACCUCAGGCCGCGCCACCGCCCUCUCCUCCCGUCCGUGCGCGCCCCCCUGCCCUGCCGCCUGCGCCGAUGGCCUACCUCCCUGGGGACCCCUCCCGCCGCCCGGCGGCCGACGCCACCUUUUCGGUGUGCUCCCAGGCUGUCGAGGACGCGGCCCGCCAUCUCAGGGGCACAGCGGUGGUCGUCACCCUCUCGGAGCAGCGCCAGGACAUCAACCCACAGCUCGUCGCCAAGGCCAUCGAGCGCGACCUCGCCAUUCCUUUCGACCAGAUGCACGUGUCAAGGCACAAUCCUGAAGACUUCCUUGUCCAGUUCGCGCACGCGCGUGAUCGCGACAUUGCUAUCGACGCCGGCGUGGCGUCCUGCCGCGGGGUGGCCAUGACCCUCGCCGCCUGGAGGCCGCUCGCGGGCGGGCAUCAACGAGCCUGGCGCUUCUACUGUCGCCUGGCCAUUGAGAACCUCCCCGUCCAGGCGUGGCGACGUGAGGUGGUGCAGGACGUGCUCGGCCUGUCCUGCUGGGUGGACAGGAUGGAGCGCCAGACGACGUCGCUGUCCAACACCGCGCUUGCCUACGCUUGGGUGUGGGCGUGAAGCCCCGAUGACAUCCCCCUCGGCAGCGGCCAUUCUUUCCUGGAUCGUGCGCCGGACGGCCGUGGUCGCCCCGCUCUCCCCGAAGGCACCCCGCGCAAAGAGGCGCUGCACGGUCCCCAGUUCCCCGUCAUCAUCCACCUGGACCUGACCAAGGACUACACGCCGCUGGCCGAUCGCGCGCCCGGGGCCAGCCAGGAGUGGCCCAUCGAGGAGCGGUUCGGCUGGACUCGUCACUUUGAAGAUGACACGGUGGCGCCCGCCCCGCGCCGCCGCCCCGCGGCCAGGAUCACCCGCGCCCCUAUCCCAGGCGCCGUGGGGGUGAUGAUGACGAUGACGUGGCGGGUGACCGCGACCGUGGGCGUGGGCGCCGGGGCGAGUCGCGUCCGGCCCGGCGCAGCGGUCUGCUUGGCUGCCGCUCGGAUGGCUCAGUGCGCGGUGCCACCCCGGAUGGGCGUCGGUCGCACGGCUCUUCAUCCCGCCACGGACGUCGCCACGCUACGUCUCCUGGCUCCUUUCACGGGCGGAGCACCUCGCGUGGCUCCAGCAGCGGCCAGUCGUCGCGCCGCAGCCGCUCGAGGUCCCAUGAGCGUUUUCGCCGCGGGGGUGCCCGCUCCGCCUCCCCGACAGGCGUUUUGGCGGAUGCGGCCGUGCCGCCUCUCGUCUUGGCUGCGGUGCUGCCUGGCGCCCCGGCGCUGCCUGUGCUGUCUGCGGAUGGCGCCAGGUGCACUCCUUCCCAGCGGACGAGACCCUGUGGCCCUACACCGGCCAAGCCCCACUCCCCUGGUCUGGUCUCUCGGCUACGGAGAUGGGCCUGCUGCCUGCAUCGGCCCAAGGCCCGGACGAGGAGCCCUUGCAGCCCACGCUGCUGCCCAGUGCGCCCCUCGCCCCCUGGCCCAACCUCGGCUACAUGGACCCGGCCCCGCCCGCUCUCGAGGAGGUCGUCGUCCACAAGUCUCCUGCUGACCGGGUCCACCUGGACGACGUGGCUGACAGCCUGGCUUGUAAGUUCACCGGGCUGGAAGUCGACGAGGACGGCCCAGCGUCGCUUCUUGCCAAGCUCUUCACGCCGCCGGCCUCGCUGCUUGGGCCGCCACCGCCCCCUCCGAUCAAGACCGGUGCUGGCUCCCCCGACCCUCCGGUGAUGGUGCCCACCCCCAUUGCGACACCACCGCUGCAGCGUCGGGCCGGCGCGCGGAUCGCCAAGGGUGCCACGGGUCUGACCCAGCAGCAGAAGGCGCAGGCGCGCCUCGCGCAGCAGCUGGAGUUCAUCUCGAGGCCGGAGCACUUCACGCCAGAGAUCCGGGAGCAUUGCAUCAACAGGUUCAAGGCUCCGCUUGGGAAGCUGACGGCAAAGCUGGCCAGGGCUGCUGGGGUGCACGCCAAGGCCUCAAUCAACUUGCCAGAUCAGGAGAUCGCCGCCCUGGCCGGCGAGGAGGCUGGACUGCCCGUCUGAGGCAGCACGUGGACUAGUCAUGGGCCUUCACCUCCGUCAUGAUAGUUUGCCAGAUCAGUAGGAUUAUGCUUUGUUUCGGGCCGUCCUGUGACCGCGCCGUAGUUUCGCUAUGUCCUGCACCGUUCUGUGACCGCGCUGUCGAUGUUGUUGUUUUUCCUUCCCAAGCGUGCCCGCCAGCCGCUCGUAGCCCUGUACCAGCCAAUGUUGUUGUUCUUCAAAGUGGCACUGCUCGCUGUUCAAGCGUGUCUUCGUCAUCGGGUUGCCUGCUGUUUUCCCAAUGAAUAUGCCUUUUUCCUUGCUAAACUGGAAUGCACGUCGACUGAAUGAUAAAACCCGCUGUGGCGGGAUGCGCUCGCUCGUGAACCAGACACGAUGCGCUCUUGUAUGCGUCCAGGAAACCAAAAAGUCCGCGUUUACGCCGCCGGAGCUCUGUGAAACGGUAAGCCCCGUGCUCUCAGAGCAUGCCGUUUUGCCAGCGGAUGGCACGCGAGGCGGGAUCUUACUCGCUUGGAACCCGUCUGUCUUUCGGCUUGAUUGCAUUGCGGUCACCGAGUUCGCCAUCACCGCCCGCGUCAAUCCUCUCCUUGGUGGCCAGCCCUGGUGGUUAACCUCCGUUUACGGGCCAACGGGUGACGCGGAUAAGCUGCGCUUCCUUGCUGAGCUCGCGGGUCUGCGUGCGGUGGCGCACGGGCCCUGGCUCAUCGUCGGCGACUUCAACCUCAUCUACGAGGCGCGCGACAAGAGCAGCCCGAACCUCAACCGCCGGCUCAUGACCUGCUUUUGGGACGCGCUGAAUGCUAGUGAGCUCCGCGAGCUCAAGCUGGCCGGGCGGCGUUUCACCUGGUCCAAUGAGCAGGCUAGGCCAGUGCUGGUCCGUCUGGAUCAGGCCUUCUGCGACGGUGACUGGGACCUCACCUUCCGAGGCACCAGGCUACAGCCGCUGGCCACCGCCAUGUCGGAUCACUGCCCACUGCUGCUUACUUGUGAGCCGCCGGUCCGACGGCCGUCGUGCUUCUGUUUCGAGGCUUUCUGGCCACAUAUCGAAGGCUUCCAAGAGCAUGUCACCGCGGCCUGGAACGAGGGAUGCCCGCCGAUGGAUGCGUUCGGUCGCCUAGCCCUCAAGCUACGGCGAACUGCAGCGGCAUUGCGCCGAUGGCAUCGCACUCGCAUUGGUGACACCCGACUGCUGCUUCUGUUCACCCAGGAGGUUGUGUUUCGCCUUGAGACGGCUCAGGAAUCCCGUAACCUCAAGGCGGAUGAGUUGCAACUGCGAAAAAUCUUAAAGUCCAGGAUCCUGGCCCUCACGGUCAUUGAGCGGAUCCGCGCCAAACAGCGAUCCAGGGUAACGUGGUUGCGGGCCGGCGAUGCCAACACGAAAUUUUUCCACCUCAAGGCAAAUGCUCGGCGCCGAAAGAACUUUAUCGCAUCCCUGAGCAAUGACAACGGCAUUGCCACUGAUCAGGGCCGCAAGUCGGAAGUCGCCACAGCUUUCUUUCAGCGACUUGUGGGCACACCGUAGGCUUGCCGCGCCACUGUUGACUGGGACGGGCUUGGCCUACAGCACGCUAACCUCGAUGAGCUUGAGGCGCCUUUCUCGGAGGAGGAGAUCCUUGCGGCCAUCAAGGACAUGCCCAGUGACCGUGCGCCGGGGCCGGGCGGUUUCACCGGGGGUUUUUACAAGGCGGCGGCCCCCACCAUAAUGCCGGACCUGCUCGCCGCAUUCCAGCAGUUGCACCAGCUGAAUCGGGCGAGCCUGCAUCGCCGGAACACGGCUAACAUUGUGUUGUUGGCCAAAAAGGUGGACGCAACUUCGAUGGUGGAUUACAGGCCGAUCAACUUACUCCAUAGUGUGGUUAAGCUGUUCAUGAAGGUGCUUGCGAUGCGUCUCGCACGGCGGAUUGACGAGAUUGUUGGCCCGGCCAGUCUGCGUUCAUCAAAGGGCGAUGCAUCCAGGAUAACUUCAUGUUCGCCCAACGGAUGGCACGCCACUUCCACCGUGUCAAGCGCGCCAAGCUUUUUGUCAAGCUCGACAUCGCCAAAGCUUUCGACAGCGUAUCCUGGCCAUAUCUGCUUAACAUGCUCCGUGCUCGAGGUUUUGGCCCGAGAUGGUGCGAUUGGAUCUCGAUGCUCCUUGCCACCUCCUCGUCGCGUGUUCUGAUCAAUGGGGUGCCUGGCCGGCCCAUAGUUCACUGUUGCAGAUUGCGUCAGGGCGACCCUCUAUUGCCGUUCUUAUUCAUCCUCGCCAUGGAGCCUCUUCAACGGCUUCUCGAUGUCGCAGUGGACAUAGGGGUUAUCUCCAAGCUCCAGGGUCGGUUGUCGCAGCUGCGGGCUUCCCUCUACGUCAACGAUGUGACUCUCUUCCUCAACCCCGUGAAGACCGAGCUGGCAGCUCUCCGCUCCAUUCUCACUGCUUUUGGUCUGGUUUUCGGGCUCAAGGUAAACUUUGAGAAAAGUGUCGUCCUCCCCAUAUUAUGAGUUUAUGAGUUUUGAUGUACCCAAGGAGUUCGGAGUCCCGGAUGAGAUCGGGGACAUGGCGAGGAGUCUCGAAAUGGUCGAGACGUAAAGAUCGAUAUAUUGGACGACUAUAUUCGGACAUCGGAAAGGUUCCGAGUGAUUCGGGUAUUUUUCGGAGUACGGGAGAGUUACGGGAAUACGUAUUGGGCCUUAUUGGGCCAUACGGGAAAGAAGAAAAAGGGCCUCAAGGGUGGCCGCACCCCUCCCCUUGGUCUGGUCCGAAUUGGACUAGGGAAGGGGGGCGCCCCCUUCCUUCCUUCUCCUUUUCCCUUCCUCUUUUCCUAUUCCAUAUGGGAGGUGGAAUCCUACUAGGACUAGGAAGUCCUAGUAGGACUCCACACUUGGCGCGCCCCCUCCUAGGGCCGGCCUCCUCCUCCCUUGCUCCUUUAUAUACGGGGGCAGGGGGCACCCCAUAGACACACAAGUUGAUCCACGUGAUCAUAUUCUUAGCCGUGUGCGGUGCCCCCUUCCACCAUAGUCCUCGAUAAUAUUGUAGCGGUGCUUAGGCGAAGCCCUGCGACGGUAGUACAUCAAGAUCGUCACCACGCCAUCAUGCUGACGGAACUCUUCCCCGACACUUUGCUGGAUCGGAGUCCGGGGAUCGUCAUCGAGCUAAACAUGUGCUAGAACUCGGAGGUGCCGUAGUUUCGGUGCUUGAUCGGUCGGGCCGUGGAGACGUACGACUACAUCAACCAAACGCUUCCGUUGUCGAUCUACAAGGGUACGUAGGUCACACUCUCCCCCUCUCGUUGUUAUGCAUCACCAUGAUCUUGUGUGUGUGUAGGAAUUUUUUUGAAAUUACUAUGUUCCCCAACAGUGGCAUCCGAGCCUAGGUUUUUAUGUGUUGAUGUUAUAUGCACGAGUAGAACACAAGUGAGUUGUGGGCGAUAUAAGUCAUACUGCUUACCAGCAUGUCAUACUUUGGUUCGGCGGUAUUGUUGGAUGAAGCGGCUCGGACCGACAUUACGCGUACGCUUACGCGAGACCGGUUAUCCCGACGUGCUUUGCACAUAGGUGGCUAGCGGGUGACAGUUUCUCCAACUUUAGUUGAACCGAGUGUGGCUACGCCCGGUCCUUGCGAAGGUUAAAACAGCACCAACUUGACAAACUAUCGUUGUGGUUUUGAUGCGUAGGUAAGAUUGGUUCUUGCUUAAGCCCGUAGCAGCCACGUAAAACUUGCAACAACAAAGUAGAGGACGUCUAACUUAUUUUUGCAGGGCAUGUUGUGAUGUGAUAUGGUCAAGACAUGAUGCUAAAUUUUAUUGUAUGAGAUGAUCAUGUUUUGUAACCGAGUUAUCGGCAACUGGCAGGAGCUAUAUGGUUGUCGCUUUAUUGUUUGCAAUGCAAUCGCGCUGUAAUGCUUUACUUUAUCACUAAGCGGUAGCGAUAGUCGUGGAAGCAUAAGAUUGGCGAGAUGAUAACGAUGCUACGAUGGAGAUCAAGGUGUCGCGUCGGUGACGAUGGUGAUCAUGACGGUGCUUCGAAGAUGGAGAUCACAAGCACAAGAUGAUGGUGGCCAUAUCAUAUCACUUAUAUUGAUUGCAUGUGAUGUUUAUCUUUUAUGCAUCUUAUCUUGCUUUGAUUGACGGUAGCAUUAUAAGAUGAUCUCUCACUAAUUAUCAAGAAGUGUUCUCCCUGAGUAUGAACCGUUGCGAAAGUUCUUCGUGCUGAGACACCACGUGAUGAUCGGGUGUGAUAGGCUCUACGUUCAAAUACAACGGGUGCAAAACAGUUGCACAUGCAAAAUACUCAAGUUAUACUUGACGAGCCAAGCAUAUACAGAUAUGGCCUCAGAACACGGAGACCGAAAGGUCGAGCGUGAAUCAUAUAGCAGAUAUGAUCAACAUAGCGAUGUUCACCAAUGAAACUAUUCCAUCUCACGUGAUGAUCGGACAUGGUUUAGUUGAUUUGGAUCACGUAACCACUUAGAGGAUUAGAGGGAUGUCUAUCUAAGUGGGAGUUCUUAAGUAAUAUGAUUAACUGAACUUAAAUUUAUCAUGAACUUAGUCCUGGUAGUAUUUUGCAAAUUAUGUUGUAGAUCAAUAGCUCGCGUUGUUGCUUCCCUGUGUUUAUUUUGAUAUGUUCCUAGAGAAAAUUAUGUUGAAAGAUGUUAGUAGCAAUGAUGCGGAUUGGAUCCGUGAUCUGAGGUUUAUCCUCAUUGCUGCAUAGAAGAAUUAUGUCCUUGAUGCACCGCUAAGUGACGGGCCUAUUGCAGGAGCAGAUGCAGACGUUAUGAAUGUUUGGCUAGCUCAAUAUGAUGACUACUUGAUAGUUUAGUGCACCAUGCUUAAUGGCUUAGAAUCGGGACUUCAAAGACGUUUUGAACGUCAUGGAGCAUAUGAGAUGUUCCGGGAGUUGAAGUUAAUAUUUCAAGCAAAUACCCGAGUUGAGAGAUAUGAAGUCUUCAACAAGUUCUAUAGCUAAAAGAUGGAGGACAAUCACUCAACUAGUGAGCAUGUGCUCAGAUUGUCUAAGUACUACAAUCGCUUGAAUCAAGUGGGAGUUAAUCUUCCAGAUAAGAUAGCGAUUGACAGAAUUCUCUAGUCACCAUCACCAAGUUAGUAGAACUUCGUGAUGAACCAUGAUAUGCAAGGGAUAAGGGAAACGAUUCCCAAGCUCUUCGUAAUGCGGAAAUUGACAAAGGUAGAAAUCGAGAAAAACAUCAAGUGUUGAUGGUAGACAAGACCACUAGUUUCAAGAAAAGGGUAGAGGGAAGAAGGGGAACUUCAAGAAGAACAGCAAGCAAGUUGCUGCUCAAGUGAAGAAGCCCAAGUCUGGUCCUAAGCCUGAGACUAAAUGUUUCUACUGCAAAGGGACUGGUCACUGGAAGCGGAACUACCCCAAGUGAUUGGCAGAUAAGAAGGAUGGCAAAGUGAACAUAAGUAUAUUUGAUAUACAUGUUAUUGAUGUGUACUUUACUAGUGUUUAUAGCAACCCCUCAGUAUUUGAUACUAGUUCAGUUGCUAAGAUUAGUAACUCGAAACGGGAGUUGCAGAAUAAACAGAGACUGGUUAAGGGUGAAGUGAUGAUGUGCGUUGGAAGUGGUUCCAAGAUUGAUAUGAUCAUCAUCGCAGACUCCCUAUACUUUCGAGAUUAGUGUUGAACCUAAAUAAGUGUUAUUUGGUGUUUGCGUUGAGCAUGAAUAUGAUUUGAUCGUGUUUAUUGCAAUACGGUUAUUCAUUUAAGUUAGAGAACAAUUGUUGUUUUGUUUACAUGAAUAAAACCUGCUAUGGUCAUACACACCAACGAAAAUGGUUUGUUGGAUCUCGAUUGUAGUGAUACACAUAUUCAUAAUAUUGAAGCCAAAAGAUGCAAAGUUAAUAAUGAUAGUGCAACUUAUUUGUAGCACUACCGUUUAGGUCAUAUUGGUGUAAAGCGCAUGAAGAAACUCCAUGCUGAUGGGAUUUCGGAAUCACUUGAUUAUGGAUCACUUGAUGCUUGCGAACCAUGCCUCAUGGGCAAGAUGACUAACACUCCAUUCUCCGGAGUGAGCAACUGACUUAUUGGAAAUAAUACAUACUGAUGAAUGCGGUCCGAUGAGUGUUAAAGCUCACGGCAAGUAUCGUUAUUUUCUGAACUUCACAGAUGAUUUGAGCAGAUAUGGGUAUAUCUACUUGAUGAGACAUAAGUCUGAAACAUUUGAAAAGUUCAAAGAAUUUUAGAGUGAAGUGGAAAAUCAUCGUGACAAGAAAAUAAAGUUUCUACGAUCUGAUCGCAGAGACAAAUAUUUGAGUUACGAGUUUGGUCUUCAAUUAAAACAAUGUGGAAUAGUUUCACAAACUCAUGCCACAUGGAACACCUCAGCAUAAUGGUGUGUCCGAACGUCAUAACCGUACUUUAUUGGAUAUAGUGCAAUCUAUGAUGUCUCUUACCGAUCUACCACUAUCGUUUUGGGGUUAUGCAUUAGAGACAAUUGCAUUCACGUUAAAAGGGCACCAUCUAAAUCUGUUGAGACGACACCGUAUGAAUUGUGGUUUGGCAAGAAACCAAAAUUGUCGUUUCUUAAAGUUUGGGGUUGCAAUGCUUAUGUGAAAAAGUUUCAUCCUGAUAAGCUCAAACCCAAAUCGGAAAAGUGUGUCUUCAUAGGAUACCCAAAAAGUUACUGUUGGGUACACCUUCUACCACAGAUCCGAAGGCAAGACAUUCGUUGCUAAGAAUGGAUCCUCUCUAGAGAAGGAGGUUCUCUCGAAAGAAGUGAGUGGGAGGAAAGUAGAACUUGAUAAGGUAAUUGUACCUUCUCCCUUAUUGGAAAGUAGUUCAUCACAGAAAUAUGUUCCUGUGACUACUACACCAAUUAGUGAAGAAGCUAAUGAUGAUGAUCAUGUAACUUCAAAUCAAGUUACUACCGAAUCUCGUAGGUAAACCAGAGUGAGAUCCGCACCAGAGUGGUACGGUAAUCCUGUUCUGGAGGUCAUGCUACUUGACCAUGAUGAACCUACGAACUAUGAAGAAGCGAUGGUGAGCCCAGAUUCCGCAAAAUGGCUUGAAGCCAUGAAAUCUGAGAUGGGAUCCAUGUAUGAGAACAAAGUAUGGACUUUGGUUGACUUGCCCACUGAUCGGCAAGCAAUUGAGAAUAAAUGGAUCUUCAAGAGGAAGACGGACGCUGAUAGUAGUGUUACUAUCUACAAAGCUAGAAUUGUCGCAAAAGGUUUUCGACAAGUUCAAGGUGUUGACUACGAUGAGAGUUUCUCACUCGUAUCUAUGCUUAAGUCUGUCCGAAUCAUGUUAGCAAUUGCCGCAUUUUAUGAAAUCUGGCAAAUGGAUAAACAAAACUGCAUUCCUUAAUAGAUUUAUUAAAGAAGAGUUGUAUAUGAUACAACCAGAAGGUUUUGUCAAUCCUAAAGGUGCUAACAAAAUAUGCAAGCUCCAGUGAUCCAUCUAUGGACUGGUGCAAGCAUCUCGGAGUUGGAAUAUACGCUUUGAUAAGUUGAUCAAAGCAUAUAGUUUUAUACAGACUUGCGAUGAAGCCUAUAUUUACAAGAAAGUGAGUAGGAGCACUACAGCAUUUCUGAUAAGUAUAUGUGAAUGGCAUAUUGUUGAUCGGAAAUAAUGUAGAAUUAAUCUGCAAAGCAUAAAGGAGUGUUCUUAAAGAAGUUUUUCAAAGAAAGACCUCGGUGAAGCUGAUUACAUAUUAAGCAUCAAAAUCUAUAAAGAUAGAUCAAGACGCUUGAUAAGUUUUUUCAAUGAGUAUAUACCUUGACAAUAUUUUGAAGUAGUUCAAAAAUGGAACAGUCAAAGAAAGAGUUCUUGGCUGUGUUACAAGGUAUGAAAUUGAGUAAGACUCAAAGCCCGACCACGGCAGAAGAUAGAAAGAGAAUGAAAGUCAUUCCCUAUGCCUCAACCAUAGGUUCUAUAAAGUAUGCCAUGAUGUGUACCAGAUCUAUUGUAUACCCUACACUCUGUUAAGCAAGGGAGUACAAUAAUGAUCUAAGAGUAGAUCACUGGACAUUGGUCAAAAUUAUCCUUAGUGUAAUAAGGAAAUAUUUCUCGAUUAUGGAGGUGACAAAAGGUUCGUCGUAAAAAGUUACGUCGAUGCAAGUUUUGACAUAGAUCUGGAUGACUCUAAGUCUCGAUCUAGAUACAUAUUGAAAGUGGGAGCAAUUAGCUAGAGUAGCUCCGUGCAGAGCAUUGUAGACAUAGAAUUCGCAAAAUACUUACGGAUCUGUAUGUGACAGACCCGUUGAUUAAAAUUAUCUCACAAGCAAAACAUGAUCACACCUUAGUACUCUUUGGGUGUUAAUCACAUAAAUAAUGUGAACUAGAUUAUUGACUCUAGUAAACCCUUUGGGUAUAGGUCACAUGACGAUGUGAACUAUGGGUGUUAAUCACACGGUGAUGUGAACUCUUAGUGUUGAAUCACAUGGCGAUGUGAAUUAGAUUAUUGACUCUAGUGCAAGUGGGAGACUGAAGGAAAUAUGCCCUAGAGGCAAUAAUAAAGUUAUUAUUUAUUUCCUUAUAUCAUGAUAAAUGUUUAUUAUUCAUGCUAGAAUUGUAUUAACCGGAAACAUAAUACAUGUGUGAAUACAUAGACAAACAGAGUGUCACUAGUAUGCCUCUACUUGACUAGCUCGUUAAUCAAAGAUGGUUAUGUUUCCUAACCAUGAACAAAAGAGUUGUUAUUUGAUUAACGGGAUCACGUCAUUAGAAGAAUGAUGUGAUUGACAUGACCCAUUCCAUUAGCUUAGCACCCGAUCAUUUAGUAUGUUGCUAUUGCUUUCUUCAUGACUUAUACAUGUUCCUAUGACUAUGAGAUUAUGCAACUCCCGUUUGCCGGAUGAACACUUUGUGUGCUACCAAACGUCACAACGUAACUGGGUGAUUAUAAAGGAGCUCUAUAGUGUCUCCAAAGGUACAUGUUGGGUUGGCGUAUUUCGAGAUUAGGAUUUGUCACUCCGUUUGUCGGAGAGGUAUCUCUGGGCCCUCUCGGUAAUGCACAUCACAUAAAGCCUUGCAAGCAUUGCAACUAAUGAUUUAGUUGCGAGAUGAUGUAUUAUAGAACGAGUAAAGAGACUUGCUGGUAACGAGAUUGAACUAGGUAUUGAGAUACCGACGAUCGAAUCUCGGGCAAGUAACAUACCGAUGACAAAGGGAACAACGUAUGUUGUUAUACGGUCUGACCGAUAAAGAUCUUCGUAGAAUAUGUAGGAGUCAAUAUGAGCAUCCAGGUUCCGCUAUUGGUUAUUGACUAGAGACGUGUCUCGGUCAUGUCUACAUUGUUCUCGAACCCGUAGGGUCCGCACGCUUAAGGUUUCGAUGACAGUUAUAUUAUGAGUUUAUGAGUUUUGAUGUACCGAAGGAGUUCGGAGUCCCGGAUGAGAUCGGGGACAUGACGAGGAGUCUCGAAAUGGUUGAGACGUAAAGAUCGAUAUAUUGGACGACUAUAUUCGGACAUCGGAAAGGUUCCGAGUGAUUCGGAUAUUUUUCGGAGUACCGGAGAGUUACGGGAAUACGUAUUGGGUCUUAUUGGGCCAUACGGGAAAGAAGAAAAAAGGGCCUCAAGGGUGGCCGCACCCCUCCCCUUGGUCUGGUCCGAAUUGGACUAGGGAAGGGGGGCGCCCCCUUCCUUCCUUCUCCUUUUCCCUUCCUCUUUUCCUAUUCCAUAUGGGAGGUGGAAUCCUACUAGGACUAGGAAGUCCUAGUAGGACUCCAUACUUGGCGCGCCCCCUCCUAGGGACGGCCUCCUCCUCCCUUGCUCCUUUAUAUACGGGGGCAGGGGCACCCCAUAGACACACAAGUUGAUCCACGUAAUCAUAUUCUUAGUCGUGUGCGGUUCCCCCUUCCACCAUAGUCCUCGAUAAUAUUGUAGCGGUGCUUAGGCGAAGCCCUGCGACGGUAGUACAUCAAGAUCGUCACCACGCCGUCGUGCUGACGGAACUCUUCCCCGACACUUUGCUGGAUCGGAGUCCGGGGAUCGUCAUCGAGCUGAACGUGUGUUAGAACUCGGAGGUGCCGUAGUUUCGGUGCUUGAUCGGUCGGGCCGUGGAGACGUACGACUACAUCAACCAAACGCUUCCGUUGUCGAUCUACAAGGGUACGUAGAUCACACUCUCCCCCUCUCGUUGCUAUGCAUCACCAUGAUCUUGUGUGUGCGUAGGAAUUUUUUUGAAAUUACUACGUUCCCCAACAGCAGCAUGUGCGGUCACCGUUGGGGAUGGCAACCGGGCCAGUUUCUGGUAUGAUAGCUGGCUGCCCGAGGGCGCGCCGCUCGUGAUCGCCCCUGACCUAUUCAAGGCCUCAAGACGCAAGGCGCGCUCUGUGCGUCAGGCACUGUUAGGGAGCAUUUGGAUCCAAGACCUGCGUGGUCGGGUGACCACCGACAUGCUGCCUUCCUUUGUCAGGCUAUGGGCGUGUGUCAAUUCCCGGCAGCCGCUCUCCCCCGGCACCACGGAUUCUUUCCGCUGGAGGCUAACGGAAAAUGGUGUCUACACGACGGCUUCCGCGUAUAGGCUAUUCUUCAUCGGAUCCACUACUUUCCCAUUGCGGCAGGAGAUCUGGAAGGCCUGGGCUCCGCCCAAACUCCGUACCUUUGCAUGGUUGCUCGCCCGACGGCGGAUCCUCACAGCCGACCGCCUACUUGCCCGGCAAUGGCCCAAUUCCUAUUUUUGCCCGAUAUGUAUGCGGAGCCUUGAGACAUCGGUGCAUCUCAUGAAGGAAUGCCCUUGGGCACGACAACUAUGGGAAAUGGUGGCGCACCGUUUCGCUGUCCCGGAACUAAACCCGGCUGCAUGGACGCUGGAUACGCCAUGGAUCGACUGGAUAAGCUGCAUGAGUCGCGCGCCUUCCACUCGGAAGCUGGCGAAGUCGGUUAUCCUUCUGAUUUUUUGGUGGAUUUGGAAGGAGCGCAACAUGCGCAUUUUUGGCGGUGCCACGGAACGCUCGCCGCGGCAAGUCUUGCACCUCCUGCUAUCGGAGGCAAGCGACUGGGCGCUGGCAGGACGCCGGCACCUAAUUCUGCGAGAGUAGCUCAUUUUUUUCUCUUUUGCUUUCUCUGAAUUUCUUGUUCCGCAAGCUAAUGCGUUAGCCUGCACCCUGUACUCGGCGCUCUUUCGCCUCCCCUUCUAAUCAAUGAAAUACGCAGCUCUCCUGCGUCUAUUUCAAAAAAAAAUGUUUUUUCUCUGGCCUAAGAAAAAUUGACUAAUCUAAAUUGUAAAUUCAGUCGACUGACUGUUAGUCGCUCCCGUCACCUAUUGUAUAGUGUACGUAUAUAGUACUAGCAAUAAACGGCGUGCCAGCAAAGACCAUGAAAGGUUUUCGUUCGGAAAAAAACAAGGGAACCAUGAGGCAGCAGGGUGCCACUUGUGCACUCAUUUUCCUCCUGGUUCUCCUAUUUAUUCUCGAUCGAUCAACGAUUAUGGCAUGCAUCGUGAUCGAUCCACUCGAAAGGACGAUACAAAAUGCGACAGGGCAGGAGGUUCAGUAACCAGCAGCUCCCGGCCGGUAACAGAGCAGAGC